CGCGCAAUCACUCCGGGGGCGGGGAGAGACAGACAACUGAGAGGAAGGAGGUACCACGGGCACUCUCUCGCGAGAGGGCCGCAGAGCCGCCUUUGACGGGGGCGUGUACCUGGAGAGCAACGGUAAGGACGGAGCCGACGGCUCCGGCGUCGGGUCGGUUCCGGCAUCGACGUAUCGUUUGGUCGCCCCAGAGAGGAGACAGGUUUCUUCAGCUUGCCGCUGAGGAUGUGGCAUCGGCUGCGCUCACCGCCGCCGCCUCUGUGAACUGCGGGAGUUGGGACAGCGGCCAGGGCUAGAUGGGUGGGACGCGAGUCCUCGCCGAAAGCUUGCCCUGUGCGGGGCGCACUUGGAGGCGAGCUCUGGGCCGUGGCGAGUUUUGCAGCCUAAGGUCUUGGCAGGCGCAUUGCUGUGGGCUGCCGGAGAGCAGGCUGGAGUUCGAGACCGCCCACCGGAGAGCAGGCGAGAGUUCGAGGCCUAGUGACAUCUGUUUGAGCAGAUGAAUAUGCCAUUGGGAAAGUCAAGGACUGUCGGAGAGGAGGACAUGGCAGACCUUAACUAAAGUGAGGGGGACAGUAGAGCACUAAAAGUUCUAGGAAAGGAGAUGAACUGCUUAUUCCAUCAGAUGAAAAUAUAGUCAGAACAGAUGAGUAGUAGAACUUAAACAUGCCCGGAGUUGCCAGGAAUUUGCAAAAGCCUUGAUAUAAUUCCUGUUGCUGUAGAAAGACUUUCUACAGUCACUAAUAUAUCAAGUUAUGUUCACUAGAAAAAAAGUUUACUUAGUUUAUAGAAAUGGGCUGAAAAAUCCUAAUUACUUAUCUGUGAGGUUAUUUUCAUGAAGGUUAAUCAUCCAGAAACUAUUAGAGAGCCUCGGAAUAUAUUUCUUCUAAUCUGCUCUACCUAUCCCAUUCAAAGGAGGGAAUCUGAAGAUUUAAGGACAAAGAGCAGUUGAAAACUCAGAGCUGUGGUUAAUGGGAGAAUUUCAAGGAUGGUGAAAAAAACUAACAUCAUUGCAUCCCUGUUUUUUGUAUUCUGGACUUUUUAGUUUAGCUCUUGGUAAACUACAUCAGAAAUUCUUUAUGCUAACUCUAACACACAUUUUGGGGUAUUGCUAAUUUAAUCUUUGAAUACUGUUUUUGCUGUUUCAUGAUUAUAUGUUAUGUCCUACCAGCUAGAUUGCCAACUCUUGACUACUGACUGGAAGUUUAUUGUUUAUUCAGCAAAUAAUGAAUUAAGUCAGUGAAGUGAGAGAUUUCGUGUGUAAGGAUUGUUAACUUGAACAUUUCACCAGUUACACACAGUUCAGCCCUACUUAAAUUUUAAAAAUCAUUGUUGGCACUUGACAUUGUUAUGAGGAGUUUUGUAUUUUCAACUUGUAUUUUGAGAGUGUCCUCAUGUGACUGAAGUAUGUGCUACUCUUCUUAAUUGAAUAACCCCAGAAUCUCCAGAAUUGAUAAUUGGAGGAAAUUCUACUGUUGGAAAGAAUGGAUGGAUUAUACAGCCCUGUUUUUUGACUGUUCAUUUUGUCCUUGGAGUCACUACCACUUGGCCUCAAAGUGUGAACAUGUAACCCUUUCCUUAAUACUUUGCUACACAGCUGAGCAGAAACUGUAAAUUUGGAUCCUUUGUCAGUACAACUUAAAAUGGAACAAUUUCAAUGGCUUAGGGUAAGAUAAGUAUGUAAAGAUACUUUUGUAAUAGAAGAAAAAACAUUGGAUAUUAAAAUCACACAGUAGUACCUGGGUGUGGUGGCUCAUGCCUAUAAUCCCAACGCUUUGGGAGGCCAAGACAGGAGCACUGCUGGAGGCCAGGAAUUUGAGACCAGCCUGGCCAACAUGGUGAAACCUCGUCUCUACCAAAAAAUACAAAAAUCAGCCAGGUGUGGUGGCACAUGCCUGUAAUCCCGGAUACUCGGGAGGCUGAGGUGGGAGAAUCGCUUGAACCAGGGAGGUGGAGGUUGCAGUGAGCUGAAAUCGCAAAACUGCACUCCAACCUGGGCAACAGAGUGAGACCUCCUGUCUCCAAAAAAAAAAAAAAAAAAAAAAAAAAGUGGGUGUGGUUGUGUACACCUCUACUUCCUGCUACUCAGGAGGCUGAGGCUGGAGGAUCUCUUGAGCCCAGGAGUUCAAGUCUGCAGUGAGCUAUAGUUGCACUGCUGCACUCCAGCCUGGGUAGCACAGCGAGACCCCCAUCUCUAAAACAUAAAAGUAAACAGGCUGGGUGCAGUGGCUUACACCUGUAAUCCCAGCACUUUGGGAGGCCGAGGAGGGUGGAUCAUGAGGUCAAGAGUUGAGACCAGCCUGGCCAACGUGGCGAAACCCCAUCUGUACUAAAAAUACAAAAAUUAGCCAGUCGUGGUGCCAGGUGCCUUUAAUCCCAGCUAUUCAGGAGGCUGAGACAGGAGAAUCGCUUGAACCUGGGAGACAGAGGUUGCAGUGAGCCAAGAUCAUGCCAUUGCACUUCAGCCUCGGGGACAAGAACAAGACUGUGUCUCAAAAAAAAAAAAAAAAGUAGAAAACAGAAUAGCAUAAGGAUAAUCUUAUAUACAAAAUAAGACUACUCAAUUUCUGAAUUUUUUUUUUAACUAGAUAUGCCACCUCCUGAUGACAGUGCCCAUUUCGUAACUUGUCUUACUCAGAAACAGCUCUUAGAUAAUUUUACUCUUUAAGUUCAGGUCUGAGCACAGAGGACAAAGAAUUCCCUUGAUUGCCUAUGAAAGAAAGGAUUCUCAACCUUGGCACUAUUGACAUUUUAAGUCAGAUAAUUCUUUGUUGUGGAAGGUUAUCCUGUGCAUUGUAGGAUGUUUAUUUUAUCAGCAUCCCUGGCUUCUACCCAGUAAAUCCCAGUAGCACCCCACCACCAACCAAAACUGUCUCAAAAUGUUGCUAGAUGCCCCUUGGGGACAAAAAUCCUCUCCCUCCCUCCUCCUUGAAUGCCACUGGCACUCCUUGAGCCUACAGAAGGGCUCUUCUCACAAGUUUGAUACCCUGUACCUCCCAGUUGAUAGUGGGAAUUACUUCUCCUUUGAAGACACAAUUCCAGUUACCCUGAGAAGUAUGGCAUUGGCCUUGCUGGCCUCCACCAAAUUACUAUAUCACUGUGUUUGGUAACCCCAGACAUCAUACUAGGGCUUUAAUUUCAGUAUAUAAAUAGUAAAUUAGUAUCCUUGUAUAGGUUAGCUUAAUGAGUUUCAGAAUUCUUCAAGUCAUAUCUUCAUAGGUAGGAUCACUGUGGAGUUAAUGGCAUUUGAACUAUGUACUCAGUACUAUGCUAGUGGUUGGUGCAAGGGGAAGAUACAAAAUAAGGUGUGAUUUUAGCCCAUGAGGAAUUUAUACUUUAUCUGCAGAAGCAAAUUAAUAUGGAACCGUUAGUGAACACCUGGAUAAAACAGAAUGCUAAAUUUUACCCUAGAGGUGCUUGGCCUGGACUUCAAGAAUUCUAAGUGAAUUGAAGUAUGUUCACAGUAAGAAAGGUUAAAAAUGGCUCUGCCCACUUGUAGGCAGAUGGGAAGCUAGGAUGGCAGACUUGCCAAUAUUUGAUAUAUGUAAAAAGUGCAAUCAUGGCCUCUGUUGUUUCCUCUUUUAUCUCGUUCUCUUUAUUAGUCCAGGUUCUCUAGAGGAAUAGAACUAAUAGGAGAUAUAUAUAUAUAUAUAUAUGGAGUUUAUUAAGUAGUAUUAACUCACAUGAUCACAAGGUCCCAGAAUAGGCCAUAUGCAAGCUGAGGAGAAAGGAAGGCAGUCGAGUUUCAAAGCUGAAGAACAUGGAGUCCAAUGUUUGAGGACGGGAAGCAUCCAACAUGGGAGAAAGCUGUAGGCUGGGAGGCUAAGCCAGUCUAGUCUUUUCAUGUUUUUCUGCCUGCUUUAUAUUCUGGUCGUGCUGGCAGCUGAUUAGAUGGUGCCCGCCCAGAUUAAGGGUGGGUCUGCCUUUCCCAGCCCACUAACUCAAAUGUUAAUCUCCUUUGGUAACACUCUCACAGACACAUUCAGGAUCGAUACUUUGCAUCCUUUAAUCCAAUCAAGUUGACUGUAUUAACCAUCACAAGUCCACCACUUGUCAACUUAAACACAUACAUAUCUCCUGAGAUCAUUCAUAAUCUUCAAAUAAAGACAAUAAUAAUGUCAUAAUUACACCUAAUACAACUAUCCUUUGUACAGCUGGAAACACACCAGUCCCCAACCCAAAUGCUAUUACAUAAAGUUAACAAUACUUAAAUGCUGAUAUGAAGUAAAUCUUAAUGUCCCAUGAUAAAAGGAGGCUGGGCGCAGUGGCUCACGCCUGUAAUCCCAGCACUUUGGGAGGCCGAGAUGAGUAAUGGCUUUUGACAGUAAUAGAGGGUCUCAACCUGAUUUUUCUUAAGUUUGCAUAAGGCUUAGGAGAGGAUAAAAUAAGGCAGGAUCUAGAGAUUGGUGAGGAGAAACGGAAGUCCUCAUUCUUGACAGCUCUCAGCACAUGCAGCCCUCCCCACACACACAGUCACACUCACACACACUCACAACCAGAUUCACAUUCCUACCCAUGCACACACUAACACACACUUGUGCACUUAAACUCGUGCACUUACACAUUCACAUUCAUAUACUCACAUGCACACAUUCAAAACACACACAUACUCUACAAACACUCAUGUUGCAAAAGGGGAUUUGUAAGCUGAAUGUUUAGAACUCAGAACACAUAUUUUCACAAAAAUAAUAUUAUGGUCGGGCGCUGUGGCUCACGCCUGUAAUCCUAGCACUUUGGGAGGCUCAGCUGGGCGGAUCACUUGAGAUCAGGAGUUCAGGACCAGCCUGGCCAACAUACUAAAAAUACAGAAAUUAGCCAGGCAUGGUGGUGCAUGCCUGUAAUCCCAGCUACUCGGGAGGCUGAGGCAGGAGAAUCACUUGAACCCAGGAGGCAAAGGUUGCAGUGAGCCGAGAUCCUGCCACUGCACUCCAGACUGGGCAACAAGAGCAAGGCUCCAUCUCAAAAAAAAAGGAAAUAAAAUGAAGAUAUUUUCUUAGUACAAGUGUAUAUAUGCACAAACAUGUUUUUAACAAAAGGAGGAAAUACUCAGGACAAUUACAAUCCUCAUUUCUGCAACUGUUCACUUGGUUGUAGCUGGUAUGGAUGACUAGCCUUCUACUACCCAUUCUGUAUUCCCUUUGCCUUCAGCAAGCACCUCAGCAGGUCGUGGUUUUUUUCCUGGUGGCGUAACCCAAACCUUCAUUUCUGAAGGGUCUGGACCAUUUGUAGUCCUUUCUGGACUGGGCUUUUAUAGUUUCCCAUUGACUUCAACCACAGGGCAUGGUAAUACUAAGAGACACCUUAAUAGAUCUCUGUAUUCCAUGCAUACUCUUCCUUACCUCAGUUGUGGAAUAGUAGACUGAUUUCAUCUUGAUGGUCCAGGUCAAUCACCCCAGCCAACACUGUAACUCCCUUCUUAGACUGUUGACUUAAAAGUAGUAGACUGGGCCGGGCGCGGUGGCUCACACCUGUAAUCCCAGCACUUUGGGAGGCCGAGGCGGGCAGAUCACGAGGUCAGGAGAUCGAGACCAUCCCAGCUAAAAACGGUGAAACCCCGUCUCUACUAAAAAUACAAAAAAUUAGCCGGGCGUAGUGGCGGGCGCCUGUAGUCCCAGCUACUUGGGAGGCUGAGGCAGGAGAAUGGCGUGAACCCGGGAGGCGGAGCUUGCAGUGAGCCGAGAUCCCACCACUGCACUCCAGCCUGGGCGACAGAGCGAGACUCUGUCUCAAAAAAAAAAAAAAAAAAAAAAAAAAGUAGUAGACUGAUUUCAUCUUGAUAGUCCGGGUCAGUCACCCCAGCCAACACUGUAACUCCCUUCUUAGACUGUUGACUUAAAGGUAGGAGGAGCCCCAAGUGUCCAGGUGACAAUCUUAACUUCCUGUUUAAUGGAAUUGCUGUUGUGUCUCCUGGUGGCAGUGUUCCUCCCUUUGAAACUAAGACCUCUAAGCCAGCAGAACGUAAUGUCAUGGGAACAGGAAGCAAAACUUUUGCUAGUGACUCUCUAAGGGUGAUGAUGAGUGGUGCCACUUCCACCCCUUGAUUCCUGGACCUGUGAAUCCUGGCUAUGAGAGAAAUAGUAUCAUAUAUUGGACGCUGAUUCAGGGUAUACAUGGCCUUCUGGAGAACUUUGCCCCAGGCCUGCAAAGUGUUGUCACCUGGUUGAUGUUGUAAUUGUGACUUCAAAAGGCCAUUCCGUUCUAUCAUUCCAGCUGCUUCAGGAUGACGGGGGAACAUGGUAAGACCAGUGAAUUCCAUGAGCAUGAGCCCACUGUCACACUUCUUUAGCCAUAAAGUGAGUGCCUUGGUCAGAGGCAAUGCUGUGUGGAAUACCAUGACAGUGGAUAAGACAUUCUGUGAGUCCACAGAUAGUAGUCUUGGCAGAAGCAUUGCAUGCAGGAUAGGCAAACCGAUAUCUGGAAUAAGUGUUUAUUCCAGUGAGGACAAACCUCUACCCUUUACAUGAUAAAAGAGGUCCAAUAUCAUCAACAUGCCAUCGGGUAGCUGGCUGGUUACCCCAAGGAAUGGUGCCAUUUCGAGGGCUCAGUGUUGGUCUCUGCUGCUGGCAAAUUGGGCACUCUGCAGUGGCCGUAGCCAGGUCAGCCUUGGUGGGUGGAAGUCCAUGUUCCCGAGCCCAUAUGUAACCUCCAUCCCUGCCACCAUGGCCACUUUGUUCGUGGGCCCAUUGGGCAAUGACAGGCGUAACUGGGGAAAGAGGCUGAGUAUGCACAGAAGGGCUCAUCCUAUUCACUUGAUUAUUAAAAUCCUUCUCUGCUGAGAUCACCCAUUGGUGAGCACUCACAUGGGAUACAAAUAUCUUCACAGUUUUUGACCACUCAGAGAGAUACAUCCACAUAUCUCUUUCCCAGAUUUCUUUGUCACCAAUUUUCCAAUUAUGCUUCUUCCAUGUCCCUGACCAUCCAGCCAAACCAUUAGCUACAGCCCAUGAAUAAGUAUAUAAUCGCACAUCUGGCCAUUUCUCCUUCCAUACAAAGUGCACAACUAGGUGUACUGCUUAAAGUUCUGCCCACUGGGAAGAUUUCCUUUCACUGCUGUCCUUCAGGGAUGUCCUAGAAAGGGGCUGUAGUGCUACAGCUGUCCACUUUUGGGUAGUGCCUACAUAUCGUGCAGAAUCAUCCGUGAACCGGGCCCUAGUCUUUUCUUCCUCUGUCAGCUGAUCAUAGGGAACUCCCCAUGAGGCCAUCGGUGCAGGCUCGGGAGAUAAGUCAGGGUGGCAGGAGUGGAGACCGUGGGCAUUUGAGCCACUUCCUCAUGUAACUUAUUUGUGCCUUCAGGACCUGCUCGAGCCUGAUCACGUAUAUACCACUUCCAUUUGAUGAUGGAAUGCUGCUGUGCAUGACCCACUUUACGGCUAGAUGGGUCAGAAGGCACCCAGUUAAUGAUAGUCAGUUCAGGUUGAAUGGUGACUUGAUGACACAUAGUCAAACGUUCCGUUUCCGCCAAAGCCCAGUAACAGGCCAAAAGCUGUCUCUCAGAAGGAGAAUAGUUAUCUGCAGAAGAUGUCAGGGCCUUGCUCCAAAAUCCUAGAGGCCUCUACUGUGAUUCACCUAUGGGGGACUGCCAAAGGCUCCAAACAGCAUCCCUUGAGGUGUCACUGACACCUCAAGCACCAUUGGAUCUGCUGGGUCAUAUGGCCCAAGUGGCAGAGCAGCUUGCACAGCAGUCUGGACAUGUUGUAGAGCCUUCUCCUGGACCCCAGUCAAAACUGGCAGCCUUUCGGGUCACUCAGUAAAUGGGCCAGAGUAACACACCGAAAUGAGGAAUGUGUUGCCUCCAAAAUCCAAAUGGGCCCACUAGGCGUUGUUCCUCUUUCUUGGUAUAGGAGGGGCCAAAUGCAGCAACUUAUCCUUCACUUUAGAAGGAACAUCUCGACAGGACCCACACUACUGGACCCCUAGAAAUUUUACUGAGGUAGAAGGUCCCUGAAUUUUAGUCAGAUUUAUUUUCCAUCUUCUGUGUCACCAGUAAGUCCAGUGUAUUUGCUACUUCUUGCUCACUGGAUCCGAUCAGCAUAAUGUCAUCAAUGUAAUGGACCAGUGUGAUACCUUGUGGAAGCAAAAAGAGAUCAAGUUCUCUCCAAAUAAGAUUAUGACACAGCCAGAGAGUUGAUAUACCACAGAGGUAGUACAGUAAAGGUAUAUUGCUGGCCUUGCCAGCUGAAGGCAGAUUGCUUCUGGUGGGCCUUAUGGACAGGAAUGGAGAAAAAGGCAUUUGCCAAGUCAAUGGCUACAUACCACGUACCAGGAGAUGUGUUAAUUUGCUCAAGCAGUGAAACCGCAUCUGAUACAGCAGCCACAAUUGGAGUCACCACUUGGUUAAGCUUACAUAAUUGACUGUCAUUCUCCAAGAUCCAUCUGUCUUUUGCAGAGGCCAAAUGGGAGAGUUGAACAGGGAUGUGGUGGGAAUCACCACCCCUGUGUCUUUCAAGUCCUUGAUGGUGGCACUAAUUUCCGCAACCCCUCCAGGGAUGUGAUACUGUUUUUUAUUUACUAUUUUUCUAGGUAGAGGCAGCUCUAAUGGCUUCCAUUUGGCUUUUUCCACCAUAAUAGCCCUUACUCUACCAGUCAGGGAGCCAAUGUGGGGGUUCUGCCAGCUGCUAAGUAUGCCUGUGCCAAUUAUGCAUUCUGGCACUGGGAAAAUGACCACAGGAUGAGUCCAGGGACCCACUGGACACACUGUCAGUUGGACCUGAGCUAAAACUUCAUUAAUUACUUGAACUUUAUAAGCUCCUAUGUUAACUAGAGGACCACAGUGACAUUUUGGGUCCCCUAGAAUCAACGUCAGCUCAGAGCCAGUGUCCAGUAGUCCCUGAAAUGUCAGAUCAUUUCCCUUUCCCCAGUGCACAGUUUUACCCUGGUAAAAGGCUAGAGAUCUUCUUGGGGGAGAAUGAGAGAAAGAUUAACAGCAUAAAUUGUCGGUAAUAUAGCGGGGUCCUUCCUCAAGGGGACUGGCCUCCCCUUCAUUCAAGGGGUUUUGGGUCUAUUUCCUGGACCCUCCCAGCUGGGAUGAGUAGGUCUAAAGUGGCUAAUCCACUCCACCAUCCCAAUAUCCUUAAGCCUUUGGAUCCCUUCCUCUACAUUAAAUUGAGAGAGAUCAGGCAUUUCCAGCUCGCUCAUAGUGGGCCAUUUUUUAAUCCAUAUUUCAGCUAACCAAGCAAAUAAACUAUUAGAACCUUUUUUAACUCCCCGAGCUGCAACAUUAAAUGCAGAAUCCCCACUUAGUGGGCCCAAAUCAAUAAAUUCAGCCUGAUCCAACUCUGUGUUCCUUCCACCAUUGUCCCACACCCUUAAUAUCCAUUCCCAUGCCUGUUCUCCAGAUUUCUGCUUAUAUAAAUUAUAAAACUCAAGCAGUUAUUUUCGAGUAUAGUGCACCUCCUCAUGGGUCACACUCUGAACCUCACCUCUAGGGGCCUGCCGGGACUUUAGUCUUGUUAUAGAUCCAGAAGCAAACAAGGGUAUUGGGGGUGGCUCCUGAGGAGAAUCAACGUUAUCUUGCCUGGCAGCUGCCUCAGGGGAGGCCAUCACUGUUGCCUCAGGCAGUGUAGGGUUUAUCUCCUCCGACAAAGGUAGAAAGGCUGAUGACAGUGUGGGUCAGGGAGGGGAUGUUGCCGCUACUUGCUACCCGGGAUGGGGAAGCUGUUUCUUUUGGCAAAAAAAGUUCAUCAGCGUUUACAAGCUCAGUGUCCCCAUUCCAACUUACAGUGUCCCAUUCUUUUCCAAUCAAUGCCCUCACUUUAACAGUAGACACCUGGCAAGGCUGUGCAUGCACCUUUUGUUGCAGGUCAGCCACUUGCCUAAUAAGAGCUUGUGUCUGUUUUUCCACAAUUUCAGUUCUUUCUCUACAGGAGAUAAGACUCUCACUUAGGACAGUCUUAGAUUUGAGGCUCAGUAUCUGCUUCUGGAGCGAGGAGUUAGAAUCCCUUUGGAUUCACUUUGUCCAGUGAACUUAGGAACAACCAACCAACUUAAUUAUGUUCCUUUGUUCUCCACAUAGAGUCAAAGGUAUUAUGUAUAGAGUCACUAAACUCCUUGCCUCUCACAAGUGGUGAAUCAGGAGUGUCAAACGCAUUUAUUUUUCAUAACUCUCUAAAAAGUUCAUGCCAGGCCGGGCGCGGUGGCUCAAGCCUGUAAUCGCAGCACUUUGGGAGGCCGAGGCAGGCGGAUCACAAGGUCAGGAGAUCGAGACCAUCCUGGCUAACAUGGUGAAACCCCAUCUCUGCUAAAAAUACAAAAAAUUAGCCGGGCAUGGUGGUGGGUGCCUGUGGUCCCAGCUACUCGGGAGGCUGAGGCAGGAGAAUGGCGUGAACCCGGGAGGCAGAGCUUGCGGUGAGCCAAGACUGCGCCACUGCACUCCAGCCUGGGUGACAGAGCAAGACUCCGUCUCAAAAAAAAAAAAAGUUCAUGCCAGCGACUAUCAGUGUUCUCCAUACUAUUAGAGUCCUUAGCAUUUUGGGGUCUAAUCAUAUUAAGCAGCCAACUUCAGAAACCCCAAAACCAACAAAAGAACUCCAUCCUUAAUAUUCUGUUCCUGUAGAAUCACUCCUGGUACCAAAAUCUGUAUUAGGUUUCUCUAGAGGGAAAGAACUAAUGGAAUAGAUAUAUAUAUUUAUAUAUAAAGGAGAGUUUAUUAAGUAGUUUUAACUCACACCAUCACAAGGUCCCACAAUAGGCCAUCUGCAAGCUGCAAGAAAGGAAGCCAGUCCGAGUUCCUGAAGAACUUGGAGUCUGAUGUUUGAGGACAGGAAGCAUCCAGCAUAGGAGAAAGGUAUAGGCUGGGAGGCUAAGCCAGUCUAAUCUUUUCACGUUUUUUCUGCCUGCUUUAUAUUCUGAUCAUGCUGGCAGCUGAUUAGAUGGUGCCCACCCAGAUUAAGGGUGGGUCUGCCUUUCCCAGCCCACUGACUCAAAUGUUAAACUCCUUUGGCAACACCCUCACAGACACACACAGGAUCAAUACUUUGCAUCCUUCAAUACAAUCAAGUUGACACUCACUAUUAACCAUCACAUUCUCUUUCUCCUCACCUUUAAAUUGUUUGAUUAUAUACCAUUCUUUGUAUUUGAAACCUCAGCAGGGAAGUAAUAGACAAUUUUUAAAAGAACCUAAGUAGUAAUACAAGAUUUAACAGCUAUAUUAAACUUUAUAACUUGCAGAUAGAGAAGUUGCCUUUAAUGACCAGGAAACAUUUAUAAAAAUUGAUUUUUAAAAUUACACCCAAAAAAUCUCAAUUUUAAGUUACACACUCUGUUAACAGCACUAAAAAUAAUUUUUUAGAUAAAAAGAUAAAAGGAAAUUCAUCUAAUUGGAAGCUAAAGGGAAAAAUGCCUUAAAUCUGGGUCAAGGAGAAAAUCGCAACCGUGAUUGCAGAUUUAUAAACUAUUUAGAAAUUAAUCACAAUGAGAACAAAAAAAAUAGAAACAUGAGAGUUCAGCCAAAGUAGUAUAUAAAGUCACAAUAUUAGAUGUUUAAUAUUAAUCAAUAUAGAAUGAAUGAAAAUGAAACAAAUAGGAGAGGAUUCUAGGAAAAUGGCAGAAUAGGAAGCACCAGAAAUCUGUCUCCUCACCUAGACAAAAAUUACACUGGCAGAGUCUGUCUUAUGUACAGACAAUCCCUGAUUUACGACGGUUUCACUUAUGAUUUUUCAACUUUACAAUAGUCCAAAAAUGUUAUAGAUUUUAGUACGCUUCUCGACUUACAGUGAGGUUAUGUCCCAGAUAAACCCGUUGUAAGUUAAAAAUAAUAUGUCAAAAGUGUGUUUUUGACUUAAGAUAUUUUCAGCUUGUGAUGGAUUUAUCUGGGAUAUAAUUCCGUCAUAAAUCAAGGAACCAUCUGUAUUUUAGAACUGUAGAAUUUAUUGAAACUUGCAGCUUCCAGAGGAAGACUUGGACAGUACAUUGUGGUUAAAUUUUGUCAAUUUCUUUAAAAAAAAAUUAGUGUAAUAGACACUGUCAUAGCCUGAGUCCCUUAGAAAAUAAAGCCUAAGGCAAAAUAUAUAUGCUAAUGCUUUGAAGAGGAUUGCAGAAAUGUCUCCAGUUCUCUGUUCCUCCCUAUAUUCAUUCAUUUGCAAUGUGUCUCUGUAACUCCCCUCAUUAAAGAGUGGAAUCUAUUUCCUCAACCCUGGAAUCUGAGCUAGCCGUGUUAUGAAGUUUUGCCCAAUGGAAUGUGGUGAAAGUGAUCAUGUAGUUGUUUUAAGCGUAACCUUUAAGAAGUCUUGCAUGCUUCCACUUGCUUUUCUGGGAUCCUGCUCAGCUGCUAUAGAACAAACCUGGGCUAGCCUACUGGGAGAUGAGAUUAUGUGGAGCAGCAGUGAGCCAUCUGUCUUAGAAUAGCCGACACUUAGCCAACCUAGCAACUGGGGGAAAAUAUGCGGGAAUGAGUCCAACAGAGACCAGAAGAAUUGCCCAGCGGAGCCCAGCCCAAAUAGCCAAUCUAUAGCAUUGUGACCCAAAUAAAUGCAUGUUGUUUUAAGACCAAAAAAAGGAAAAGAGAGGUGGGGUGCAGUGGCUCAUGCCUGUAAUCCUAGCACUUUGGGAGGUUGAGGUGGAUGGGUCACCUGAGGUCAGGAGUUCAAGACCAGCAUGGCCAACAUGGCAAAAUCCGUCUCUACGAAAAAUAUAAAAUUAGCCAGGCGUGGUGGUGAAUGCCUGUAGUCCCAGCUACUCUGGAGGCUGAGGCAGGAGAACCACUUGAAUCUGGGAGACGGAGGUUGCAGUGAGCCAAGAUCACCUCACUGCACUCCAGCCUAGGUAACAGAGCGAGACUCUGUCUCAAAAAAAAAAAAAAAUUGGUCAAUUUCCAGUCUUGGCACAGCAGCAGCUAACCAUCUCCUACCACUGAAUCUCAUGGCACGCAGCUGUGCACAUGUUCCUAGAGUGGUUUGCACACAGCUUGUAGGAGCUAGGGGGGCAAAAAGUACAUUGUCCUCAAAACGUUAGAUCUGUGCUCUGAUUCCUAACUGCCACUCGUGAUCACAGAGGUGCAGAGAGUCAUUAGCCAUUGUUGCACUUCCAUUGUUGCAAGCCCCUCACCUUCUGGUUGAAGUGACUUCCAGGAGAAUUAAAGAGCUGGUGUUUCCCUCCCCACUCCCAUUCAUUUUUCUCAUUUUCCCCUUUUGGGAGCCAGACAUAAACACAAUUGCAUAUAUGAGAGAAAUCAGAAAGUCAUGGCACAGCCUAGGGGAUGGUGCAGGCUCAGAAAAGACCUCUGAGAAGACCUUAGAUUUAUACUUCAGACUCAUCUUAGGCAAAGAGGGCUUACAACAAUCAAAAAAACAAAAAUAAUAAAAACAGUAACAAAAACAGCAAACCCUGGAGAAGAGGAAGAAUCUGAUUUCCAGAGUUAACACAUUAGUAAAUUCUAAUGUCUGGUUUUCAACAAAAAUAUCACAAAGGAUACAGAGAAACAGGAAAGUGUAACCCAUUCAAAUGAAACCUAAAGAGACUCAAAAAACAAAAGGAAUUUAAAGUCAAGAAAAUUAUUUAUGAACAAAAUGGAAAUAUCAAAAACAGAUAGAAAACCUAAAAGAAACCAAAAAGAAAUUCUGGAGCUAAAAAGUACAAUAACUGAAAUUAAAAAUUCACAAGAGGGAUUCAAAGGCACAUUGAACAGUUAGAAGAAAGAGUCAGAAAACUUGAAGAGAGGAUAAUGGAAAUUAUUGAGUCUGAGGAACAGAAAGAAAAGAGAUUGAAGAAAUGUGAAAGCAGUCUAAGGAACCUGUGCGAUACCUCAACCAGAUCAGCAUACACAUUGUGAUAACUACAGAAGGAGAAGAGAGAGAAAAGGCUGGUGAGAAUAUUUGAAGAAAUGAUGACCAACAGCUUCCCAUAUUUGAUGAAAAACAUGAAUAUGAAUAUCUAAGAAGUUCAAUAAACCAAGUAGGAUGAACUCAAAGAAACACAUACUGAGAUACAUUAUAAUCAAACUAUCAGAAGAGAAUUUUGAAAGCAGCAAAAGAGAAAUGACUCUUCGCAUACAAAUGAUCCUCAAUAAGAUUAUCAGCAGAUUUCUUAUCAAAAACUUUGGAAGCCAGAAGACAAUGAGCUAAUAUAGUCAAAGUGGUAAAAGAAAAAAUUUAGUCUAUCAAUCAAGAAUUCCAUAUCUGGCCAGGCACAGUGGCUCACGCCUGUAAUCCCAGCACUUUGGGAGGCCGAGGCGGGCGGAUCACGAGGUCAGGAGAUCCAAACCAUCAUGGUUAACACAGUGAAACCCCAUCUCUACUAAAAAUACAAAAAAUUAGCUGUGCGUGGUAGUGGGUGCCUGUAGUCCCAGCUACUCCAGGAGAAUGGCAUGAAUCCAGGAGGCGGAGCUUGCAGUGAGCUAAGAUUGCGCCACUGCCCCCCAGCCUGGGCAACAGUACGAAACUCUGUGUCAAAAAAAAAAUAAAAGAAUCCCAUACCUGGCAAAAACUGUCCUUCGAAAUUGAAGUAGAAGAUAAGACUUUCCAGAUAAACAAAAGUUGAGGGAGUUCAUUACCACUAGACCUGCCCUACAAGAAAUGCUAAAUGAAGUCCUGCAAGUUGAAAGGACACUAGACAGUAACUGAACUUGUAUAAAGAAAUAAAGAUAAGUAAAGGUAAAUACAUGGGAAAUUAUAAAAGCUAGUAUUAUUGUAACAAUGGUAUGUAACUCCACUUUUUGUUUACAACAUGACUUGAGACCAAUACAUUAACAAAAACCAAUGAUUAGGCCAAAAGCUAGUGUUAUUGUAACUUUGCUUUUGUUGGGAAAACUCCCUGCCAGGACUGAGAAUUGCCCUCUACAAGUGGAGGCAAAUUACUGAUUUGCCAUCAGACCAAAAAAAAAAGGCAGAUGAUUCCGGGUUGGCAGGUAGUCAAAGAUUUAUCCAGGGGAAAUUUAUAAGGCAGCCUUGGGCAGCAGCAAGACAAGGUAGAUUUCAGUGCUUAUAGUACAUGCCUAUCUAGUCUUUUAUAUCAUGAAGAGGGAAUGGAAGGGGCGGGGGAAGUCACUGAUGGUGUGUUAAGCCGUCUGGUUGUUUUCUUAAUCUGUUUACUCUUUGCUUACAGGAACUGUUUGGGUUUUGUAGAGUCUGGUCAACAUUCCUAAGGAGAGGAGGGAUGUUGCAGACAGCAGCAGUUAUUUUAGCACUGGUAUGCAUUUUUAGGUCACUGCAUGCUACAAUGCACUUUGUGGUCACAUACCCAGAAAACAUUUUCACAACAGGUAACUCCACAUCUUGUUUUCUACUUAAUUUAAGGGACUAAUAGAUUUAGUUUGUUUUGGACACAUGUUAUAUAGAGAUGUAAUUAUGUGAUAUCAACAGCUGAAAGGGGUGGGGGACAGGGCAGUUAAGGAGCAGUUUUUGUAUCUUUUUCAAAUUAAGCUGCUAUAAAUUUAUGUUAGAAGCUUCCUUAUUUAGGAUGUCAAAUGUAAUCCCAUGAUAACACAAAGAAAAUAGCUAAAAGAAGAUAAGAAAGGAAGUUAAAAGUUUCAUUACAAAAAUCAACUAAACAUGAAAGAAGACAGAUAAGAAAUGAGGAACCAAAAAAAGCUGCAAUAUAUAUAGAAAAUAGCAAAAUGACAGAAUUCCCUCAUCAGUAAUUAUUUUAAAUGUAAAUGGGUUAAACUUCAGUGAAAAGACAGAGAUUAGAAGAAUGGGUUUUAAAAAACCAUGAUUCAAGACUCCUGUGCCACAUAACAUUUCAGUCAAUGAUGGAAUGCACAUAGGAUGGUAAUACAAUGGUAAGAUUAUAAUAACGUAUUUUUACUAUAUAUUUUCUAUGUUUAGAUAUACAAACACCAUUGGGUUAUAGUUACCUACAGUAUUUAGUAUGGUAACAUGCCGUAACAGCUUUGUAGCCUAGGAGCAAUAGGCUAUACCAUACCAUCUAGGUUUGUGUAAGUACCUUCUGUGAUAUUUACAUGAUGAUGAAAUUGCAUAACAAUGCAUUUCUAAGAACAUAUACCCAUACAUAAAUGAUACAUGACUGUAUAUGCUGUCUGUAAGAGACUUAAGAUCCAAAGACAAAAACAGGUUAAAAGUGAAAGAAUGGGAAAGGAUAUUCCAUGAAACUAAUUACCAAAUAUUAAGGAUGGCGAUACUAGUAUACAACAAAAUACACUUCAAAGCAAAAAAGAUUACUAAAGACAAAGAAGGACAUUAUAUACUAAAAAACGGUUCAGGAUGAGCACGUUGGCUCAGGCAUGUAAUCGCAGCACUUUGGGAGACCAAGGUAUGAGGGUGCCUUGAGACCAGGAGUUGGAGACAGCCUGGGCAACACAGUGAAACGCUGUCUCUACAGAAAAUUAAAAAAUUAGCUGAGCAUGGUAGCAUGUGCCUGUAGUCUCAGCUACUCAGGAGGCUGAGGCAGAAGGAUAGCUUGAGCCAAAGCACUGGAGGCUGCAGUGAGCUAUGAUCACACCACUGCACUUCAGCCUGGGCGACAGAGCAUGAUCCUGUCUUAAAAAAAUAAAAAACAUAAAAGGUUCAAUACAGCAAGAAGGUUUAACAGUUGUAAACAUGUAUGCUCCUAAUGACAAACCAUCAACAUAUAUGAAACAAAAAUUGACGUAAUUGAAGGGAGAAGUACAAUUCUACAUUAAUAGUUGGAGACUUUAAUAUCCCAAUCUCAGUAGUGGAUAGAACCAUCAAAAUCUAAGCAAGGAAAUAUAGGACUUUCACAACACAAUAAACCAACUAGAUCUAACAACCAUAUACAGAACACUCUACCCAACAAUGAAAUACACAUUCUUCUCAAGUAUACAUAGGAUAAAUUCCAAGAUAGGUCAUAAAUUAAGUCUGAAUUGAUUUUAAAAGACAGCAAAAUAUCUUCCCUGACCACAAUGGGAUGAACUUAGAAAUCAAAAACAAAAAGAAAACUGGAAAAUUUAAAAAUCAUAGAAAUUAACACACUCUUAACCAUUAGAUCAAAAAAGAAACCACCCGGCAUUGGUUGAAAAUCACCCCCCGGCUUUGGCCAUGGCAGCGGGUGAGAUUCGGCGCCCAGAGCCUCCAGGGGCCUCAGCUCACCGCACGCUGACACAUGUGCGGCGGUGAAACCCAGCCCCAACAGGCCCCGCGGCCUCUCCCUGGGUGCGGCCGCUCGCGUGGUCUGGCUCCUGACCCAGGCUGCCGACCCCUAACCCUGUUUUCUCUCCACAGGACACUGGUCUUCCCACACGUGAGACCGAUGUCGCCAGGACCACGGGGUCGGGGGGACUCGGCUGUCCUCCGUCUUUCAAAUAAAGCUGUUUGUCUAAAAAAAAAAAAAAAAAAAGAAACCACAAGACAAAUAAUAAAAUACUUAUAAAGACAAGUGAAAAUGAAAACACAGCAUACCAAAACUUAUGAGACACAACAAAAGCAGUGCCAAGGGGGAAGUUUCUAGCUAUAAAUUCUUACAUUAAAAAAUAAGAGUCUGGUCUGAAGAAAGCAAAAUUAAAAAUUAUUUAAAAAAUAAGAAAAAUAUCAAAUCACCAACCGGACUUUCCAAUUUAAGGAACUGAAAAGGAAGAGCAAACUAAACCCAGAGCUAGCAGUAGAAAGGAAGUAGUAAAGAUUAGAAUAGAUAUAAAUGAAAUAGAGACUAGAAAAAUAAUAUAGAAAAAUCAAAAUGAAACCAAAAGUUGGUUAUUCAAAAAUCAAAAAACUUUGCAAAUCUCUAGCUAGAUCUACUUAUAACAAAGGAGACAAGUCAGAAAUGAAAAUGAAGACAUUACUACCAUUUCUACAGAAAUGAAAAGAGUUAUAGGGGAAUACUGUCAGCAAUUGUCUGCCAAGAAAUUGGAUAACCCAAGUGAAAUGGAGAAAUUCCUAGAAACACUAAACCUACCAGGCUAAACCAUGAAGAAAUAAAAAAUAUGAGUAGAUUUGUAACUACUAAAGAGAUUCAAUCAGUAAUCAAACAUCUCCUGUCAAAGAAAAGCCCUAAACCUGAUGGCUUCACUGAUUAAUUCUACCAAGCAUUUAAAGAAGAACUGUAUCAAUCAUUUCAGACUUCCCAAAAAUUGAAGAUGAGGGCAUACCCUUAACACGUUCUAUGAGGCCAGCAUUAACCUAAUACCAAAGCCAGUAAAGGUACUACAGGAAAACUACAGACCAGUAUCCCUUAUGAAGACUGAUGCAAAAAUCCUCAGAAAGGUACUUGCAAACAGAAUUCAGCAGUAUAGUUAAAGGAUUAUACAGUUUAAGUCAUCACUUAAUGUUGAUAGGUACUUGGAAACUGUGACUUUAAGCAAAUGAUACAUCAGGAAGCCAGUUUUGCCAUAGGCUUGCCAGGCACACUGCCUCACACCUGUAAUCCCAGCACUUUGGGAGGCUGAGAUGGGAGGUUCACUUGAGCUCAGGAGUUCAAGACCAGCCUGGGCAAUAGAGUGAGCCUCGUCUCUACCAAAAACAAAAAAAAAAGCCUGUAGUCCUAGCUACUUGGGAGGCUGAGGUGGAAGGAUCACUUGAAUCCGGGAGGUAGAGAUUACGGUGAGCUGAGGUUGAGCCAUUGUGCUCUAGCCUAGCCAACAGAGGAAGACUCUGUCUCAAAAAAAAAAAAAAAGGCUAAUUUAUAUAAACAAGAAUUAAGUUCCUACAGAUGUUUUAUAAACAUCAUCAAAGUUCUAAAGAAAGACCCAAAACAUCUCCAGUUUUAAACAUUGAAAUAAAUGCAAGCUACAUGUACAUUUAAAAAAAGAUUAAUAGAAACAAGUAAAAUAUUUACCUAAUCUCUGGCAAAUCUAUGAGUGACAAGUGGUUGUAGUAAUGGUGAGUUAAAUCAAAGAGUAAAUGCUUGCAAAGAGAAAAUUGUAAAGAGCACACAGUUCAUAAACAAUAACAGGUCAUGCCUAUAAUCCCAGUACUUUUGGGAGGCUGAGGCCAGAGGAUCCCUUAAGCCCAGGACAUUGAGACCAGCUUGGGCAACAUAGUAAGACAUCAUCUCUACAAAAAAAUUAAAAACACAAAUGAGCUGAGCACGAUGGUGCACACAUGUAGUCCCAGCUACUCAGGAGGCUGCGGUGGGAGAACCACUUGAGUCCCAGAGGUCAAGGCUGCAGUGAGCCAUUUUUGUGUCACUGCACUCCAACCGGGGUGCGAGUCUGUCUAAAAAAACAACAACAACAACAACAAAAUGGAGGAGGCAGAGCAAGACAGCUAAAUAGAAGCCUCCACCAAUUGUGGAGGUGUCUCCUGACAGGGACACCAAAUUUAACCACUAUCUAUAUUAAAAAGCACCUUCAUAAGAACCAAAAAUCAGGUGAGCACUCAUAGUACCUGGUUUUAACUUCAUAUGACUGAAAGAGACACUGAGGAGGGUAGGAAAGACAGUCUUAAAUUGCUAACACCUCCCCUUCCCCAGCCCCCAGCAGUGGCCACGUGGCACACAGAGAGACUCUACAGUUGAAGGAGGGAGAUCGCAGUGAUUGUGGGACUGUGUUGGAAUUUAGUGCUCCCAUGUUGCAGUUGAGAGCAACACUGGGCAGAACUCAGCCAGCAUCCUCAGAGGGAGCAUUUAGACCAGCCCUAGCCAGAGGGAAUUUGCCCAUCCCAGAGGUCAGAACAUGAGUUUCAGCAAGCUUUGCCACCAUGGGCUAACAUGCCCUACAGUCCUAAAUAAACCUGAAAGACGGUCUAGGCCACAAGGACUGCAUCUCCUAGAAAGUUCUUUUUUUUUUUUUUUUUUGGAGACAGAGUCUGGCUCUGUCACCCAGGCUGGAGUGCAGUGGCGCAAUCUUGGCUCACUGCAACCUCCGCCUCCCAGGUUCAAGCAAUUCUCUGCCUCAGCCUCCCGAGUAGCUGGGAUUACAAGUGCCCACCACCAUGCCCAGCUAAUAUUUGUAUUUUUAGUAGAGAUGGGAUUUCACCAUCUUGGCCAGGCUGGUCUUGAACUCCUGACCUCAUGAUCCACCUGCCUCGGCCUCCCAAAGUGCUCGGAUUACAGGCCUGAGCCACCGCACCUGGCCUAGAAAGUUCUAAUGCUGUGCUGGGCUCGUAACUAGUGGACUUGGGGGACACGUGAGCUAGUGAGACACCAGCCCAAACUUAAAAAACAUAUCAAUAUUCAGGCUGGGCACAGUGGCUUAUGCCUGUAAUCCCAGCACUUUGGGAGGCCAAGGCGGGCAGAUUGCCUGAGCUCAGGAGUUCAAGACCAACCUGGCCAACAUGGUGAAACCUCGUCUCUACUAAAAAUACAAAAAUUAGCCAGGUGUGAUUGUGCACACCUGUAAUCCCAGCUAUUCGGGAGGCUGAUACAGGAGAAUCGCUUAAACCCGGGAGACAGAGGUUGCAGUGAGCCGAGAUUGUGCCACUGCACUCCAGCCUGGGUGACAGAGUGAGGCUCUGUCUCAAAAAAAAAAAAAAAUCAAUCAAUAUUCAAGUACAAGGUGGUUAUAGAACACUAAGCCCAUUUAACCCAAAGAAGACUACCUCAAGGCAUUUAAUAAUCAAACUCCCAAAGGUCAAAAAUAAAAAAGGGAUCCUAAAAGCAGCAAGAGAAAAGAAACAACAUACAAUGGAGGCCAGGCAUGGUGGCUUACGCCUGUAAUUGAGCACUUUGGGAGGCUGAGACCAAGUGGAUCGCUUGAGGUCAGGAGUUCAGCCUGGCCAACGUGGCAAAACCCUGUCUCUACUAAAAAUACAAAAAUUAGCCGGGCAUGGUGGUGUGUGCCUGUAAUUCCAGCUACCCAGGAGGCUGAGGCAUGAGAAUCAUUUGAACAUGGGAGACAAAGGUUGCAGUGAGCCAAGAUCGUGCCACUCCACCACAGUCUGGGUGACAAAGUGAGACUCUGUCUCAAAGAAAAGCAAACAAAAAAACCACAUACAAUGGAACUCCAAUAGGUCUGGCAACAGACUUUUCAGUGGAAACCUUAUAGGCCAGGAGAGAAUGGCAUGACAUAUUUUAGGUGCUGAAGGAAAAAAACUUUUACCUUCAAAUAGUAUACCCAGCAAAAAUGUCCUUCAAACAUGAAGGAGAAAUACUUUCCCAGACAGACAAAAGCUGAGGGAUUUCAUCAACACCAGACCUGUCUUACAAGAAAUGCCAAAAGGAGUUCAAUCUGAAAGAAAACGAUGUUAAUGAGCAAUAAGAAAUCAUCUGAAGGUACAAAACUCACUGGUAACAGUAAAUAGAAAAAUACAGAAUAUUGUAACUGUAAUUGAGGUGUGUAAAUGACUCAUAUCUUAAGUAGAACAAUAAAAAUGAAUCGAUCAGGCUGCGUGCAGUGGCUCACGCCUGUAAUCCCAACACUUUAGGAGGUGGAGGUGGGUGGAUCACCUGAGGUCAGGAGUUCCAGACCAGCCUGGCCAACAUGGUGAAACCCGUCUCUACUAAAAAUACAAAAAAUUAGCCAGGUGUGGUGGCAGGCACCUGUAAUCCCAGCUACUUGGGAGGCUGAGGCAGGAGAACUGCUUCAACCCAGGAGGCGGAGGUUGCAGUGAGCUGACAUCACGCCCUGCACUCCAGCCUGGGCGACAGAGUGAGACUUCGCCUCAGAAAAAAAUAAAAAAUUAAAUUAAAAAAGCCUGGGACCUGAUGGCUUCACUGCCAAAUUUUACCAAACAUUUAAAGAAGAGCUAUUACCAAUCCUGCUCAAACUAUUCCAAAAAAUAGAGGAGGAGGGAAUACUUCCAAACUCAUUCUAUGAGGCAAAAUCAGACAAAGAUGAAUCAAAAGAAGAAAACUACAGGCCAAUAUCCCUGAUGAACAUUGAUGCAAAAGUCUUCAAUAAAAUACUAGCAAACCAUAUUCAGCAACGCAUUAAAAAAAUCAUUCAUCACGAUCAAGUGGGAUUUAUCCCUGGGAUGCAAGGGGGUUUCAACAAAUGCAAAUCAGUCAGUGUGAUAAUGUGAUAACAUAUCAACAGAAUGAAGAACAAAAACCAUAUGGUCAUUUCAAUUGAUGCUGAAAAAUCUUUUUAUAAAAUUCAACAUCCCUUCAUGAUAAAAACCCUCAAAUAACUGGGUAUAGAUGGAACAUAACAUAAUAAAUGCCAUAUAUGACAGACCCAUAGCUAGUGUCAUAUUGAAUGGGGAAAAACUGAAAACCUUCUAAGAUCUGGAACACAACAUGGAUGCCCACUGUGACCACUGUUAUUCAACACAGUACUGUAUAUCCUAGAUAGAGCAAUCACACAAGAGAAAGAAAAGGCUUCCAAAUUGGAAAGGAAGAAGUCAAAUUAUUGUUGUUUGCUGAUGAUAUGAUUUUACAUUUGGAAAAACCUAAAGAUUCCACAAGAAGAGUAUUAGGACUGAUAAACAAAUUCUGUAAAGUUGCAGGAUACAAAUAAACAUACAAAAAUAAGUAGCACCCUUUCCACAGCUUCCCAUUCUUUAGAAACCAGGCUGCAUAUUCCCGGUGGUGGCACGCUGGAUUCCAGGCUCUCGCAUCCCCACCAGCCUCCCUGAAGGCAGACGGGUGGCCAUGGAGACCCAUCCAGACUCAUGGUCUUCAGUGCAUUACAGGGUGGGUGAUGCCAGGGUGCCAGACGCCAUGUUUGACCAGAACAUUGGGAAGGUCAUAGCCAUGCUGGAGGUUCUUGUGAGGAGAUGAAUUGGUGAAGAGAGAGGCCAGGAUGAAGAUGCCUCCAGGAGUGGGCCAGUUUGGGACUGGCAGCUCCACCCGGGUUCUGCUCUCACUGCUGAGGGCAGAAGGGUUCACUGGUGAGACCCUUUGGGGGAAGACUGAGGAGGAGGCAAAGCAGCUUGCUGCUUCUAUGUCAGCCAGACUGAUGACAUCUUGCUGCAUCAAGAUGUGGAUCUGGUGGGCAUCAGCAUCUCCCCUCCACUCACCCAGCAGAUACAUGUCAAGGCUCUAGAUUUGUUGUCUGUGUCUAUGAUUGUUUCUGCUGCAAGCUGGCCAGAUGAGUUCCCCUCCUGAGCCUGUGUGAACAGACUCCAUCUUGGUCUGAUAUGGUUUGGGUCUCUGUCCCCACCCACAUCUCACCUUGAAUGGUAAUCCCCAUAAUCCACACGUGUUGAAGGAGGGACCCAAUAGGAGGUGACUGGAUCAUGGGGGCUGUUUCUCCCAUGCUGCUCUCAUGAUAGUGAGUGAAUUCUCAUGAGAUCUGAUGGUUUUAUAAGCGUCUGGCAUUUCCCCUGCUUGCACUUCUCUCUCCUGCCACCAUGUAAAGAAGGUAUCUAUGACAAACCCACAGCCAAUAUCAUACUGAAUGGGCAAAAACUGGAAGCAUUCCCUUUGAAAACUGGCACAAGACAGGGAUGCCCUCUCUCACCACUCCUAUUCAACAUAGUGUUGGAAGUUCUGGCCAGGGCAAUUAGGCAGGAGAAGGAAAUAAAGGGUAUUCAAUUAGGAAAAGAGGAAGUCAAAUUGUCCCUGUUUGCAGAUGACAUGAUUGUAUAUCUAGAAAACCCCAUUGUCUCAGCCCAAAAUCUCCUUAAGCUGAUAAGCAACUUCAGCAAAGUCUCAGGAUACAAAAUCAAUGUGCAAAAAUCACAAGCAUUCCUAUACACCAACAACAGACAAACAGAGAGCCAAAUCAUGAGUGAACUCCCAUUCACAAUUGCUUCAAAGAGAAUAAAAUACCUAGGAAUCCAACUUACAAGGGAUGUGAAGGACCUCUUCAAGGAGAACUACAAACCACUGCUCAAGGAAAUAAAAGAGGAUACAAACAAAUGGAAGAACAUUUCAUGCUCAUGGGUAGGAAGAAUCAAUAUCGUGAAAAUGGCCAUACUGCCCAAGGUAAUUUACAGAUUCAAUGCCAUCCCCAUCAAGCUACCAAUGCCUUUCUUCACACAACUGGAAAAAACUACUUUAAAGUUCAUAUGGAACCAAAAAAGAGCCCGCAUCGCCAAGUCAAUCCUAAGCCAAAAGAAUAAAGCUGGAGGCAUCACACUACCUGACUUCAAACUAUGCUACAAGGCUACAGUAACCAAAACAGCAAGGUACUGUUACCAAAACAGAGAUAUAGAUCAAUGGAACAGAACAGAGCCCUCAGAAAUAAUGCCGCAUGUCUACAACUAUCUGAUCUUUGACAAACCUGAGAAAAACAAGCAAUGGGGAAAGGAUUCCCUAUUUAAUAAAUGGUGCUGGGAAAACUGGCUAGCCAUAUGGAGAAAGCUGAAACUGGAUCCCUUCCUUACACCUUAUACAAAAAUCAAUUCAAGAUGGAUUAAAGACUUAAACGUUAGACCUAAAACCAUAAAAACCCUAGAAGAAAACCUAGGCAUUAUCAUUCAGGACAUAGGCAUGGGCAAGGACUUCAUGUCCAAAACACCAAAAGCAAUGGCAACCAAAGCCAAAAUUGACAAAUGGGAUCUAAUUAAACUAAAGAGCUUCUGCACAGCAAAAGAAACUACCAUCAGAGUGAACAGGCAACCUACAACAUGGGAGAAAAUUUUCGCACCCUACUCAUCUGACAAAGGGCUAAUAUCCAGAAUCUACAAUGAACUCAAACAAAUUUACAAGAAAAAAACAAACAACCCCAUCAAAAAGUGGGCAAAGGACAUGAACAGACACUUCUCAAAAGAAGACAUUUAUGCAGCCAAAAAACACAUGAAAAAAUGCUCAUCAUCACUGGCCAUCAGAGAAAUGCAAAUCAAAACCACUAUGAGAUAUCAUCUCACACCAGUUAGAAUGGCAAUCAUUAAAAAGUCAGGAAACAACAGGUGCUGGAGAGGAUGUGGAGAAAUAGGAACACUUUUACACUGUUGGUGGGACUGUAAACUAGUUCAACCAUUGUAGAAGUCAGUGUGGCGAUUCCUCAGGGAUCUAGAACUAGAAAUACCAUUUGACCCAGCCAUCCCAUUACUGGGUAUAUACCCAAAUGACUAUAAAUCAUGCUGCUAUAAAGACACAUGCACACGUAUGUUUAUUGCGGCAUUAUUCACAAUAGCAAAGACUUGGAACCAACCCAAAUGUCCAACAAUGAUAGACUGUAUUAAGAAAAUGUGGCACAUAUACACCAUGGAAUACUAUGCAGCCAUAAAAAAUGAUGAGUUCAUGUCCUUUGUAGGGACAUGGAUGAAAUUGGAAAUCAUCAUUCUCAGUAAACUAUCGCAAGAACAAAAAACCAAACACCGCAUAUUCUCACUCAUAGGCGGGAAUUGAACAAUGAGAUCACAUGGACACAUGAAGGGGAAUAUCACACUCUGGGGACUGUGGUGGGGUGGGGGGAGGGGGGAGGGAUAGCAUUGGGAGAUAUACCUAAGGCUAGAUGACGAGUUAGUGGGUGCAGCGCACCAGCAUGGCACAUGUAUACAUAUGUAACUAACCUGCACAAUGUGCACAUGUACCCUAAAACUUAAAGUAUAAUUAAAAAAAAAAAAGAAAGAAAAUGUGGCACAUAUACACCAUGGAAUACUAUGCAGCCAUAAAAAAUGAUGAGUUCAUGUCCUUUGUAGGGACAUGGAUGAAAUUGGAAAUCAUCAUUCUCAGUAAACUAUCGCAAGAACAAAAAACCAAACACCGCAUAUUCUCACUCAUAGGUGGGAAUUGAACAAUGAGAUCACAUGGACACAGGAAGGGGAACAUCACACUCUGGGGACUGUUGUGGGGUGGGGGGAGGGGGGAGGGAUAGCAUUGGGAGAUAUACCUAAUGCUAGAUGACGAGUUAGUGGGUGCAGCGCACCAGGAUGGCACAUGUAUACGUAUGUAACUAACCUGCACGUUGUGCACAUGUACCCUAAAACUUGAAGUAUAAUAAUAAAUAAUAAUAAUAAUAAUAAUAAUUGGGAGGAAAUAAAGUGGUUAAGAAGAGAAAAAAAAAAAAAGAAGGUCCUUGCUUCCCCUUCACCUUCUGGCCAUGAUUGUAAGUUUCCUGAGCCCUCUCCAGCCACGUGGAACUGUGAGUCAAUUAAACUCUUUCCUUUAUAAAUUACCCAGUCUCGGCCAGGUGCGGUGGCUCAAGCCUGUAACCAGUACUUUGGGAGGCUGAGGCGGGUGGAUCACGAGGUCAGGUGUUCAAGACCAGCCUGACCAAUAUGGUGAAACCCCAUCUCUACUAAAAAUACAAAAAUUAGCCAGGCGUGGUGGUACACGCCUGUAGUCCCAGCUACUUGGGAGGCUAAGGCAGGAGAAUUGCUUGAACUCGGGAGGAAGAGGUUGCAGUGAGCCAAGAUCGACCACUGCAUUCCAGCCUGGGUGACAGAGCGAGACUCCAUCUUGAGAAAAUAAAUAAAUUACCCAGUCUCGGGUAUUUCUUUAUAGCAGUGUGAGAAUAGACUAAUACACAGUCCAUCAGGGUAUUGGGAAGACUGUGGUUUGCAAGAACACAGCAACAUCAGUGGAUGCCUUUUGGAUGGUGAUGGCCUUGUGUUAACUGCCUGCAGCUGAUGAACGUGGUGGGGAACAUGCUGCAUUUCCUACCUGCCUUUGUGUGCAGGUGAAGCAACCAGUCUCGAAGCACUACGCAGGAGUGAUGAUGAUCUGCGACACCUGCAUCUACUCAGGCAGCCUGCUGAGCCCCAGCCAUAGCUGGAUCUGUGACGAGCUCACGGGCAGCAGGGGUCUGACACAAUGGGGACCUACAUCGUGGACCUGCUGACCCACCCGACCUUCUGGAGAGAUGAGAAGUUGCACACACUGUCAAGACAUACAUGAGGCAGAGUGCCACCAUCUGUGGCAUCCAGCAUGUCACCAUUGAUGACUUCUGUUUCAAAAAAAAAAAAAAAAAACUACCUGCCGAAACAGGAUUCAACACUGUGUAAAAGAAGGAAACAACUUCACAACAUCAAGAUACUAAGCAAUGUAGCAGUUACAACUAUACAAUAAAAAAUUACUAGACACAUGAAGAUUCAACAAAAUAUGAUCCAUACCAGAAGAAAAAUCAGUCAAUAGAAUCAGAAAUGACAGAGAUCAUGGAAUUAGCACAAAAAAAACCAUUAAAACAGCUAUUACUAAUAUAAUUAAGAAUUUACAAGAAAAUAUGAACAUAAGAAAAAAUGAAGAUAUGAAAAACAAUGAAAUGCAGCUUUUAGACUUAUGUAAUGCAAUAUCUGAAAAAAAUUUAAAUCACUGUAGGAGCUUAAAGCAAAUUUAAUGUAGAAGAAAAGAUUGAUGACCUUGAAGACAUAGCAAUAGAAGCUAUUCAAGCUGUAGCACACAGAGAAAAAUACACCAAAAAGCCAAACUGCUAUGAGUGUCUGCAGAAAUAAACUUCAGUAGAUGUGUAACUCCAAGGACUGUAGGUAGUGGAAUUGACAGAUAUGAAAAGUAUAGAAUUUCUGUGUUCUGAAUAUUUUAAAAGGUAAAGGAUGUUAUAAAGAUGAGCAAGAGAUUACCAGGAAUGGACAGACAGGUUGGAAGGUAGUUGGGAGAUGGGGAGAUGCUCUAGAAAUAUAAAAUAUAAUUGUUAGAAUAACAAAACUCAGUGGAAAGGUUAAAGAGCAAAUUUGAUACAGAUGAAGAGAGAAUUAAUAAAUGAAGCCACUGAGGUGGCUCAUGCCUAUAAUCCCAGCACUUUGGGAGGCCGAGGUGAGACGAUCACUUGAGGCUAGGAGUUCAAGACCAACCUGGACAACAUGGUGAGACCCUGUCUCUACAAAAAAGUUUAAAAAUUAGCUGGGCAUGUUAGUGUAUGCCUGUAGUCCUAGCUACUCAAAAGGCUAAAGCAGAGCAUGACUUGAGCCCAGGAGUUUGAGGCUUCAGAGUGCUAUGAUUAUGCCACUGUGCUCCAGCUUGGGCGACUGAGGGAGACCUUGUCUCUUAAAAAAUAAAUGAGAAGAUAUCUUUAAAAAUUACCCAGGGUAUACUAAGGAGAGACAAGGAAGUAAAAAUAUGAAAACAAUAUUAAGAGAUGGAAGCUUGGAUAAGAAAGUCACACAUAUGACUAAUUGAAAUCUCAGAAAGAAAGAAAAGAAGGAAAAAAGUAGAGGCAAUACUCCCUGCCCCCUAAUAUUUUGUGAAAUUGUUCAAACAUACAGAAAAGUUGAAAGAAUUACACAGUGAACUUUUACAUUUACCAAUUAAUUCUAGAACAUUUUGUUAUAUUUACUGUAUCAUAUAGCUAUCCACUUAACCAUCCAUCAAUCCUAUUUUUUAUGCAUUUCAGAGUAAGUUGUAGACAUCACCACUAAACAUUUUAGUAUGUUCAUCAUUAGUAUUCAGUAUUGUUCUAUAGCUUUUUUGUAUUUAAAAUGUACAUACAAUAAAAUGCACAGAUCUUAAGUACAAUAUUUGGUAAAUUUUUACAAGUGCAUAUACCUGUGUAACACAAACUGUCAAAAAAAACCAUAUACUGCUCUUCAGAAAAUUCCCUUAUGCCCCUUGCUAGUCAAUCCCUGCCCUUUACCUCCCACUGGUAAGAAGUGUUCUAAUGAGAGGUAUCAUUUAGAUAAAUAGUGCUGUGAUUUUUGCAGAAAUGAUGAAAAAAAUGAAUUAACAGAUCUGGGAGUCACAAGAUAAUGAAAGCAGGAUACAUAAACAGAAAUGUAUAAUGACAUUGUAUAAAGAACCUGCAGAAUUUGUAAGAUCUUACAAGCAGCUAGAAAGGGCAGAUCACUUGCAAAAGAACAGCAGUGAAAAUGACAGUGGAUUUAUUAUCAGCAUCAAUGGAAACCAGAAGUUAAUGGAAUAAUACCUUUCAAGUGCCAAAAGAUAAUGGUCAACUAGAAUUAUGUACUUGCCCAGACUACCUUUUAAGAAGAGUGAAAUAGAGACAUUUAAAGAUAAGUGAUAAUUGAGAGUUUAGCUCAGAGAUAUGCACAAAACUCCUAAAUGACAUAUAGUCAUGCACUACAUGACAAAGUUUUGGUCAAUAACAGACCGCAUAUACAAUGGUGGUCCCAUAAGAUUAUAUUGGCUGAGUAUUGCUAAUCCAAAAAUCCAAAAUCCAAAAUACUCCAAAAUUUGAAACUUUUUGAGUGCCAACAUGAUACUCAAAGGAAAGGUUCCUUGGAACAUUUCUUUGGAUUUUCAGGUUAGGGAUGCUCAACACUAAGUAUCAUGCAAAUAUUCCAAAAUAAAAAAAAAAUUCAAAACCAAAAUUUUCUUGUCCUAAGGAUUUAGGAUUAGGGAUACGCAACCUGUAAUACUGUAUUUUUACUGGACCUUUUCUAUGUUUAGAUAUACAAAUACAUACUCGUAUUACAGUUGCCUAUUCAGUACAGUAAUAUGCUAUACAGGUUUGUAGCCUAGGAGCAAAAGGCUAUGCCAUAUAGUCUAAAUAUGUAGUAGGCUAUACCAUCUAGGUUUGUGUAAGUACAGUCUGUGGUUUGCACAAUGAUGAAAUCACGUAAGGACACAUUUCACCUUUCUCAGAAUGUAUCCCAUCAUUAAGUGAUGUGUGACUGUAGUUGAGAGAUAGUAUUUCACAGGAGUUAAGAAUAUGCACUUUGGAGACUCCAUAGGUGUGAAUCCCUAUUCCACCAUUUGCUAGCUGUGGAACACUGGACAAGUGAGUUAACACCUCUGUGCUUCAGUUUUUUUUCUCACUUGUAAAAUUUUGACAAUAAUUGUAUUCAUGGAAUUGUUAUGAGGAUUAAAUGAACUAAUAUAAAAUAAAGCACUUAGAACCAAACCUGGAAUAUAAGUGCUUUGUUAAGUCAGAGCUUAAAAAAAGGAAAUUAUCAUAAAAGAAUGGUCUGAAGUACAAAAUAGAAUGGUGAGUGAAUAAAAUGGUGAACAAGCUUGUCAGUCCAAACAUCAGUCUAGAAAAAUAAGGUCCGAUUUGUGAAGUUUUGAACUAAUGCCUCCAAUAACAAUAGCAAGUAGGCAUUUGGGGGAGGGUCAAUGUAAUUAAAAUUAUUCUAAGAUCAUUACUUCGUUUCAAAGGAAAGUUAAGAUAUGUUUGCCUUUACAUUUUGUUAAGUUAGACACUUAUAAAAUGCAGGGACAGUUGUUAAAAAAAAAAGGAAUAAAUACAGAGCUAUGAAUUCCAAUUCAGUGGAGGAAAAAUGGAAUUUAAAAAAUCUAACCAUAAAGUCAGUUUUUUAAAAAUGCAGAAACAGCCAGCGCCGUGGCUCACGCCUGUAAUCCCAGCACUUUGGGAGGCUGAGACGGGCAGAUCACGAGGUCAGGAGAUCGAGACCAUCCUGGCUAACACGGUGAAACCCCGUCUCUACUAAAAAUACAAAAAAUUAGCCAGACAUGGUGGCGGGCGCCUGUAGUCCCAGCUACUUGGGAGGCUGAGGCAGGAGAAUGGCAUGAACCCGGGAGGCAGAGCUUGCAGUGAGCCGAGAUCACGCCACUGCACUCCAGCCUGGGCGACAGAGCGAGACUCCGUCUCAAAAAAAAAAAAAAAUGCAAAAACGUUGGGGCUAUAAAAAUAGUAGCUCAGAAAAAGCAAGGCAAAUAUAAACAAAAAAGAUAUAUAAACAAAUCCAACUAUAUCAAGAAUCACAAUAAACAUAAAUGUAUGACAUUUACCAAUUAAAAGAUAGAGUUUGUCAGACUGAAAUGAAAAGAAAAAUCUAGCUGUAUGACAUAUACAAGAAUCUGAAAACAUACAGGCAAAACAGUAGAAGAUAAGAGAUAGAAAAACAUAUACCAGGCAGAUCUUAAUACAAAGAAUUCACAUACAUACAUUAAUUUCAGAAAAAAGAUUUUAAGACAAAAAAAGAUUAUUAGAAUAAAAAGGUCAUUACCUACUGAUAAAAGGUUUUUUUCACCAGAAAAAAAACAGAAAAAUUCUAAUCCUGUUUGUAACUAAUAAAAUGGACUUAAGCUAUAUACAGCAAAAAAUGUUAGAACUACAGGAGGUGGCAAAUUUCUAUGCAACUCUCUCAGUUCUUGAUAGGUUAAACAAACAAAAACCAGUGCAUUGGUCUAGGCCCUGGGAAUACAGAAGUGAACAGGCAGACCAUCACCUGCAUGCUAGUGGGAAGAUAAAUUAACAAAAAUAUCAAAUUUUGGAUAAUGAUAAAUGAAUGAAGAAAAAAUCAAAUAUAAAGGUAGAAUCUAAUGGGAAGAGGUGGUUAUUUUAUGAGGGUGGUUAAGGGAAGGCUUCCUUGAAGAGGUGGCAUUUAUGCGGACACAUGAAUUAGUUGAGGGAGCAAAUGAUGUGUAUAUAUAGGGGAAUAUUUUUUCAGACAAAAGGAAAAGCAACUGGAAAGACCCUGAGGCAAACAUGAGUUUCACAUAAUGCAAAUAUACAUAUUUAGCUUUUUGAAUCUGCUUAGAAUGUCUUUUCCCCCCAUUUUAAGUAGAAUGUAGAAACCUUACAUAUAGGUCUACUUAACCUGUACCCCUUACGUUAGAGUUGUCAUGAAUUACGUCUACAUAUGUUUAAAACCCCAUUAGACAAUGGUACAGUUAUUUUCAACCAUCAAAUAUAUUUUUAAAGAACUUAGUACCUGUCAAUGAUAGACUAGAUGUGGCACAUAUACACCAUGGAACACUAUGCAGCCAUAAAAAAGGAUGAGUUAAUGUCCUUUGCAGGGACAUGGAUGAAGCUAGAAACCAUCAUUCUCAGCAAACUAACACAGGAACAGAAAACCAAACGCCACAUGUUCUCACUCAUAAGUGGGAGUUGAACAAUGAGAACAUAUGGACACAGGGAGGGGAACAUCACACACCGGGGCCUGUUGGGGGAUGGGGUACUAGGGGAGGGAUAGCAUUAGGAGAAAUACCUAAUGUAGAUGAUGGGUUGAUGGGUGCAGCAAACCACCAUGGCACAUAUAUACCUAUGUAACCUGCACAUUCUGCACAUGUAUCCUAGAACUUAAAGUAUAAUUUAAAAAACAAACAAAACUUAAGAGGAGAAUAGGAGAAUAGACUACUAUUUUUACACAGAUAUUUACCAUUUCUGGUGCUCUUCCUUCAUUCCUGAUGUUUUCAGGUUUCCUUCUGGUAUCAUUUCCCUCUGUCUGAAGAAUUUUCUUUAGCAAUUAUUUUAGAACAGCUCUGCUAGAAAUGAAUUCUUUUAGUUUGUCUUCAUAUGAGAAUGCCAUUAUUUCACCUGAAUUCCUGAUGGAUAUUUUCACUAGAUGUAGUAUUCUGUGUUGACACUUUCAGUGCUUUAAAAUUAUUGUGCCACUUCUGGCCGGGCGCGGUGGCUCAUGCCUGUAAUCCCAGCACUUUGGGAGGCCAAGGUGGGUGGAUCAUGAGGUCAGGAGAUUGAGACCAUCCUGGCUAACAUGGUGAAACCCCGUCUCUAAUAAAAAUACAAAAAAAUUAGCCGAGCGUGGUGGCAGGUGCCUGUAGUUCCAGCUAGUUGGGAGGCUGAGAUAGGAGAAUGGCAUGAACCCAGGAGGCAGAGCUUGCAGUGAGCCUAGAUCACACCACUGCACUCCAGUCUGGGCGACAGAGCAAGACUCCGUCUCAAAAAAAAAAAAAAAUUAUUGUGCCACUUCUGUGGUUUGCAUGGAUCCUGCUGAGAGAUUUGCUGUGAUUCAGAUUGUUUGUGUGUAGGUAGUACUUUGAAUUUCUCUAGCUACUUCCAAGAUUUUUUUCUUUGUCUUCAUUUUCAGCAUUUUGAUUGUGAUGUGUUUGGGUAUAAAUUUAUGUGUUAAACCUGUUUGGGGUUUGUUGAACUUCUUAAAUCUGUAGAUUUGUCUUUUGCCAAAUUUGAGACCUUUUCUUCCAUUAUUCUAAAUUUUUCAGCACCUUUUGUCAUUAUCCGAGAGGUCUCUGAGAUUCUACUCAUUGUUUUUUCAAAUCUUUUUUCUCUCUGCUGUUCAGAUUGGUUAAUUUUUAUUGAUCUAUUUACAAGUUCAUUGACUCUGUCAUGUUUACCUUGCUAUUGAAACCAUCCAGUGAAUUUUUUUUAAAUGUUGGCUAUUGUAUUUUUCUGUUCUAAAAUAUCCAUUUGAUUCUUCUUUAUGUCUUCUAUUUAUUUGCUGAUACUUUCUAUUUUUUUCUUAUUGGCUUCAAAAAUGCUUGUGACUGCUUGUAGGAGAAUUGUUAUAACAAAGUCAAGAACUUUGGAGGGUCUGAUAUUUUACCUUACUUGCAAGUUAACAAGUUAGGCUGCCACAAUUUCAUGAAUAGUGACAGAAGACACGAGACUCCUGGGUCAGAGACAAAGGACAGUUUAUUACCCACACGAAUAGCAGGAGGCAGAGUAUCAGCAUUUAACCCAGUUUUCUGAGCCUCAGUUCCCACACAGUGAUGCUGUGAGGGCCUGGUGAUACCUGUAUAUGUAGUGGGAUUUAUGAAUGCUGUGGGAAACACCAGUCUUCAAUAAAGGGCCAGCAAACCUGCCCAGCCUUGCCCUGGAGAGAGACAUUAUCUUUUUUUUUUCAUCCUGGAAGGAAAAAAAUCUGUCCUUGGUCCCAAAGGAAGACAUUCUAUCUUCCAAGGAUGUUUGCUAUACAAACAGCUAAAAAAGAUAGUUCAGAGAAAAAGCUGUUAAUGCCUUUGCCUAGAACACCUGUAGAAAUGCAAGAGACCAAUGGAGAAUAGACUCCUAACAAAUAUUAGUAGUUGCUUUAAAGCCUUCAUCAGACAAUUUUAUCAUCUGUGUUAUCUCAGCAUUGUCCUUUUUUUUCCCUAUAUGAAUUGAGAUUUUCUUGUUGUUUUUUUUUUUGUUUGUUUGCUUUGUAAUUUUGGACCGUAUCAUGGAUAUUUUGAAUAUUCUGUUUUGAGAUGCUGGAUCUUAUUUAAAUCCUAUUAAGAAUGUUGAUAUUUUUGUUUUAGCAGGCAAUCAAGCUGGCUAGGUUCCUGCCACAAGUUCAGACUAGUCUUCUGUAGGUGAGAAAGCGCAUAAUGAUAUUAAUAUCCACCUCCCAAACCCCAGAGUGUGUUACAUUCCAGGGUGAUAAACCUAGAGGGGCCUUCUUCCUCUUCCCAGAGGAAAUUCACUUACAUUUCAAGAUAAUGAAUAAUUUCUCUCCUGAAUGGGAGGAAUGGGUAGGUCACCAGCAGCUUUGAUAAAAGCUUGGAGGCUUCUAAAUUUAAGAUUCUUCUCCUGUGAUGCAACCCACUGCACAGGAAACAUCUGUUGCCUUACGGGAAAUGGGGCAUGGGGAAAUGACACAAGGUGUUGUAAAUGCUUUGUGCUUUCAGUAGCAAAUCUUUUAUGGCACCAGCCCAGCAGUCUGGUGUCUUCUGGCAGUAUAUGUAUAUGAAACUGUGGCAAGCUAACCUAUUAGCUUGCAAGAAGGACAAACUCUAAGACACUUCACAGUUUCUGACUUAACAGGGGAGAGUGGCAGGAUGUGAAGGUGAAGGAGCAGGCAGGGCAAAUUACAUAGCACCAUCCAUAGCUAAGGUAAUAGAUGAAUUGUUAAUGUUAAAAAUAAUGACAGCUGGCCGGUCACGGUGGCUCAUGCCUGUAAUCCCAGCACUUCAGGAGGCCGAGGCAGGCGGAUCACGAGGUCAGGAGAUCUAGACCACCCUGGCUAAAAUGGUGAAACUCUGUCUCCACUAAAAAUACAAAAAAUUAGCCUGGCGUGGUGGCAGGCACCUGUAGUCUUAGCUACUCGGGAGGCUGAGGCAGGAGAAUUGCUUGAACCCAGGAGGCGGAGCUUGCAGUGAGCCAAGAUCGCGACACUGCACUCACUCCAGCCUGGGCAACGGAGCGAGACUCCAUCUAAAAAAAAAAGAAUAAUGACAGCAGUAGCAGUGGAAAGGAAAACAAGACACUGCAUGCUAAGCUCUUCUGCAAUGAGGGUGAGAGACCAGGAAGACAGUAGACGACUGUAAAAAAAAAAAGGAGAAUGGAUGAUAUGGUCAAGGGAACUAGAAUUUUCAAAGGAGAAAAAAGGUCUGGAAUUGGCAGUGGGGAAUAAGCAGGACACCUACCUCAUCUCUAGGCUCCUUUGGUAAGUGGGUUGAGUAAUUUUUAAAAGCAGACACAAUUUGAGAGUAUUGCAAGGAAAGCAAUAUUAUUAGGAGAUGGUUAGGUUUUGGUUAGAGUAAGAAAAUGAAAGGAAUGUUUAGAAAAGGUGUUAAGGAUUAGGGGAUUUGACUGAUGACAAUACAGUGGAAGGGUCAACACAGAUUAAGAGGAGUGGGAGCCUGGGCACAGGGGCUCAUGCCUGUAAUCCCAGCACCUUGGGAGGUCGAGCCAGGCAGAUCACCUGAGGUGAGGAGUUCGAGACCAGCCUGGCCAACAUGGUGAAACCCUGUCUCUACUAAAACACAAAAAUUAGCUGGGUGUGGUGGCUCAUGCCUGUAAUCCCAGCUACUUGGGAGGCUGAGGCAGGAGAAUUGCUUGAAUCCGGGAGGCAGAGUUUGCAGUGAGACAAGAUCGCACCACUGCACUCCAGCAUGGGUGACAGAGCAAGACUCCGUCUCAAAAAAAAAAAAAAAAAAAGGAAUGGGAAAUUAGGCUAUAUUAGAGCAAAGCAUGAUGGUGUUACAAUUCUAUACAAUGGACUUUAAAAGAUGCAAAUAGGGAAAUGAGGUAUGAUGGGGUUAUUUCUAUUUUUUUAAAAAAAGGUCUCAUUAUAGCCUCUUGGGAUUGUUCUUUUAAGCAGUUUGUAGCGUGUUAUUAUAAUCUCUUGGAAUUGUUCUGUUAGGCAGUUUAUAAAGCAGGUGGAUAUUGUGAUGGGUCGGGGGUAGAUUUACCAGGAUCACAUUCAGCUCUUUGUGCCUCUAAAAUCCAGCUGGAGUUGUGACUGGGAAGAACUCUGGAUGUGUUAUUUAAAUCCAGGAACACUGGGAAUUUUAGAGGCUUUCUUUACAGUCUAAGUCUUUGGUGUUGCUGCCACUGGACAGGCAAUCUCCAGGAGCUUGGAAAUCCUGCUGUGACUGGGAAAGAGCAUAGUGAUAUAAGUAAAUAUCUACCAGGAAAAUCCAAGAAAAGCAACAUCACUUUAGGUGUCUCCUCAAACUUCAGCUCAUCAGAGGGGGCUUAUUUUAAUACAUUAUCUGAAAGAAUAUCUUUCCUGGUCACUUUCCAUCCUCCUUUCUAUGCUUUUCCCGACCACCACCUCCUUAGCACUUAUCACCACCUGUCAUAUAUUUCUCUGUUUAGUAUUUCCUCUCUGUAGGAUAUAAAGACCUGGAGAACAGAUUUAUUACUGCUAUUUCCAGGACCCAGAAUAGCAUUUGGCACAUUGUACACACUCAAUAAAUAUUUGUAGAGUGGAUGGAUAAACUGAAGAAUAUUAGAACCAUUAAACAAGUCUAGUAAUGUGACCAAUUAAAAAAUCAGUAAUUCUGCUGGGCGUGGUGGCUCAUGCCUGUAAUCCCAGCACUUUGGGAGGCCGAGGUGGGCAGAACAUCCGAGGUCGGGAGUUCAAGGCCAGCCUGGCAAUCAAGGUGAAACCCCAUCUCUACUAAAAAUACAAAAAUUGGUGUGGCAUGUGCCUGUAAUCCCAGCUACUUGGGAGGCUGAGGCAAGAGAAUCACUUGAACUCGGGUGGCAAAGGUUGCAGUGACCCGACAUUUUACCACUGCACUCCAGCCUGGGUGACAGAGUGAGACCCUGUCUCAAAAAAACAAAACAAAACAAAACAAAAAAAACAAAAAGGACAAAAAAACCCAGUAAUGGUAAUAAAAAAUAUAAAAUAUUCAGAAGUAAACUAAAUGGUAAAUAGUACUCAAAUUUACCGACAGAGGAAAUGGAUGAAUGGAGGAGAGUACCAUGCUGCUGGAUGGAAAGACAUAAUAUUGUAAUAAUGCAAACUCUCUUCAAGUUAAUCUAUAAAAUGGACACAAUAUCAGUCAAAAUUCCAGUGGAAUUUUUGGAGGAAAGGAAGGGGCAAAUUUGACAAAAUGAUUGUAAAUUUCACCAUGAAGAAUAAAUGCUUCAGAAUAGCCAAUUCAUAUUUUGAAGAAAGGCAUCGAUAAGGGACCUUGCUCUAUUAGACACAAAAACCUAUAUAGGAAAAGACAAAUGGGUGGUAUAUAUUAAAAGUUUUUUUUUUAAGUACAUACCCUUUGCCCAGACAUUCCACUUCUGGAAAAUUUCCCUGAGAAAUAACUAGAUAGUAUAUGGCUAAGAUAUUUAUUGAAACAUUGUCUAUAAUGUUAUAAUGCCAAUCCAAUUAAAAACAUUGAUUGUUUGACAAGUAGAGGAUGGUUUUAACCAAGUAUGGUUUAAAUAAAUUCCUGUGGAAUACCACAGAGCUCUUAAGCAUGAUGUAGAACUACAUUAAUUGAUAUGGAAGGUGAUCGCCAUAUAUUGUUAUGUUUUUUAAAAAGCUGAUUACAAAACAGAUGUCUAAUACUAUCCACAUUUUUGUAAAAUAAAAAUUGGCAUAUACCUGUGAAGAAAAAAACCUAGAUGGAAGAUUAUAUAUCAAAAUGUUAACAAUAGUUCUGCAUCUGUACACUGAAAAAUGGUAUGCUUUCCCCAAAAUGGGAUGGUACUUAAAUUCCUCAUUACUGCCACCUGGUGGCAACCAAGGGAGAUUUCUAAUUUCUUUUCUACCACCUUGAGUACAAUGCACGUAACAUCAUAAUUAUAUAAAGUUAUAAAGAAAUCUUCAGUAUCACCUGGUUCUAUCCAUCAUUUUGUAGCUGAAGAAAUAAAGGGCAAAGACUUUAAGCCACUUGUCUGAAGUUGCACUGUUAGUGAAAUUUAAUAAUAGUAGCAAACAUUUGUUGAGCCGUUUUGCUAAGUACUUCAAAUGGAUUAUAUCAUUUUAUUGUCACAGGAGCCUAUGAGGUUGGUCCUAUUUUUACUCUCACUUAUCCCUACUUACCAGAUGAGGAUCCUGAGGCUCAGAAAAAGUAAGCAACUUACCCAAGGCUGUAUAGUUGGGAUACAGCCAGUGAUUCUGAGUUUUACCUCCCUCUCCUGAACCUUCUGUACUGUACCUUCUUAGCCCAUUAAUUGCCCCUGCCCCUUCCACUACGUACCCUUGCCCUUUCCUUGUCCGUUCCUUCAGUGUUUUGGUGACAACUCUUAGCAUAUGCCCAGUCUUUGUGUUAUGUUUCUCAUGGAUGAAAAGACAGUAUAGGCCAGGUGUGGUGGCUUAUGCCUGUAAUCCCAGCACUUUGGGAGGCUGAGGUGGGCAGAUCACCUGAGGUCAGGAGUUCGAGGCCAGCCUGGCGAAACCAUGUCUUUACUAAAGUAAUCCCAACUACUUGGGAGGCUAAGGCAUGAGAAACACUUGAAACUGGGAGGUGGAGGUUGCAGUGAGCCGAGAUCACACCACUGCACUCCAGCCAGGGGAUAGAGCGAGACUCUGUCUCAAAAAAAAAAAAAAAAAAAGGGAAGGAUUGAUUGAUUUACUGAGAGAAGUAUAAGGAAACAAAAUGCCCCAAGACCCUUGUCCGGAAGGAAGGGAGGGAGGGAAAGGAAAGGAAAGGAAGGAAAGGAGGGAGGGAGCGAAAAGACAGUAAAGACAGUAUGAACAUUUACUGAGAGAAGUAUAAUUAUCAGGGGAACCCGCCCCCAAUAUUUCAACGGAGGUUCUAUUUUCCAUAAGUGUUGGCCGGCUGAGAAAUAAAGAGUACAAAGAGAGAAAUUUUACAGCUUGGCCACCAGGGGUGACAUCACAUAUCGGUAGGACCAUGAUGCCCACCCGAACCUCAAAACCAGCAAGUUUUUAUUAAGGAUUUCAAAAGGGGAGGGCGUGUAUGAACAGGGAGUAGGUACAAAGAUCACAUGCUUCAAAGGGCAAAAAGCAGAACAAAGAUCACAUGCUUCUGAGGAAACAGGACAAGGGCAAAGCAGAACUCCUGAUAAGGGUCUAUGUUCAGCGGUGCAUGUAUUGUCUUGAUAAACAUCUUAAACAACAAAACACAGGUUCGAGAGCAGAGAACCGGUCUGACCAAAAAUUUACCAGGAUGGAGUUUCCCAAUCCUAAUAAGCCUGAGGGUACUGCAGGAGACCAGGGCAUAUUUCGUCAUUAUCUCAACCACAUAAGACAGACACUCCCAGUGCAGCCAUUUAUAGACCUCCCCCCAGGAAUGCAUUCUUUUCCCAGGGUCUUAAUAUUAAUAUACCUUGCUAGGAAAAGAAUUUAGCGAUAUCUCUCCUACUUGCAUGUCUGUUUAUAGGCUCUCUGCAAGAAGAAAAAUAUGGCUCUUUUUGCCUGACCCUGCAGGCAGUCAGACCUUAUGGUUGUCUUCCCUUGUUCCCUAAAAAUCGCUGUUAUUCUAUUCUUUUUCAAGGUGCACUGAUUUCAUAUUGUUCAAACACACGUUUUACAAUCAAUUUGUACAGUUAACACAGUUAUCACAGUGGUCCUGAGGUGAUGUACAUCCUCAGCUUACGAAGAUAACAGAAUUAAGAGAUUAAAGUAAGACAGGCAUAAGAAAUUAUAAAAGUAUUAUUUGGGAACUGAUAAAUGUCCAUGAAAUCUUCACAAUUUAUGUUCCUCUGCCACGGCUCCAGCCGGUCCCUCCAUUUGGGGUCCCUGACUUCCCGCAACAUAUAAGGAAACAAAAUACCCCCAGCUCCUUACCCCAGACCCUUGUCCAGAUAGAAAUUUAGACUUAUUAAUAUAUUGAAUUGUUCAAGUGUCCAUAUACUAAGAAUUACAUCAGCGAUGUGGAACUAUGGAUAGGCUUCCUUGGGUUCCUGGCUCCACACUAUAACCACCGCCCCCCACCCCUUAAAUUUCUGUAUAGCAGACUUAAGAGUGAAUAUCACCAUAUGCAGUUGUUCAUGUACUUCUUCCCCUUUCUCUUCUAGCUCUUGACAAAAUUCUCAGGGAAAACUCUUCAGCUCUGGAUGUCUCCCUUUUUGUGGAUCAAACACAAAGGGCAUCAUUCUAAAAUAUAUACAGAACCAUAAAAGCCCCAAAUAGCCAAAGCAACCCUGAGCAAAAAGAACAAGGCUGGAAGCAUCACACUACCAGACUUCAAAAUUUACUACAAAGCUCUAAUACCUAAAAUAACAUGGUACUGGCAUUAAAAAAAAAAAAAAAAUAGGCACAUAGACCACCAAUGAAACAGUAUAGAGAAUCUAGAUAUACCAACUCAUCUUUAACAAAGGUGCCAAGAACAUACAAUGAGGAAACGAUGGUCUUUUCAAUAAAUGGUGUGGGGGAAAGCUAGAUAACUAUAUGCAGAAGAAUGAAACAAGAUUCCUCUCUCUCGCUAUACACAAAAAUCAAAUCAAAAUGGAUUAAAGGCUUAAAUCUAAGACCUGAAACUACAAAACUAGAAGAACACACUGGAGAAGUGCUCCAGGACCUUGGUCUGGGAAAAGAUUUUUUUGUUUAAGACCUCAAAAGCACAGACAACAAAGCAAAAACAGACAAAUGAGAUUACAUUAAGCUAAAAAGUUUCUGCACAGCAAAGGAAACACUCAACAGAGUGGGGGAGACAACCCACAGAAUGAGAGAAAACAUUUUCAAACUAUCCAUCCGACAAGGGAUUAAUGACCAGAAUAAAGAGACCAAACAAUUUAAGCCAAAAACAAAACAAACAAACACACAAAAAAAACAAAAGCCAAAUAAUCUAAAAAGUGGGCAGGUUGGGUGGGGUGGCUCAAGCCUAUAAUCCCAGCACUUUGGGAGGCCAAGGCAGGCAGGUCAAGAGAUCGAGACCAUCCUGGCCAACAUGGUGAAACCCCAUCUCUACUGAAAAUACAAAAAAAAUUAGCCGGGUGUGGUGGCAUGUGCCUGUAGUCCCAGCUACUUGGGAAGCUGAGGCAGUGAGAAUCGCUUGAACCUGGGAGGCAGAGGUUGCAGUGAACCAAGAUCACACAACUGCACUCCAGCCUGAUGACAGAGCGAGACUCCAUCUUGAAAAAAAAAAAAAAAAAAGUGGGCAAAAGAUCCAAACAGACAUUUCUCAAAGGAAGACAUAAAAAUGGCCAACAGGUAUAUGAAAAAAUGCUCAACAUUACUAAUCAUUAGAGAAAUGCAAAUUAAAACAACAUGUUAUUUCACCCCAGUUAAAAUGGCUUGUAUUAAGAAAACAGAUAAUAACAGAUGCUAGUGAGGAUGUGGAGAAAAGAGAACCCUCAUACACUGUUGGUAGAAAUGUAAACUAGUACAACCACUAUGAAGAACAGUAUGGAAGUUCUUCAAAAAACUAAAAAUAGAAUUACCAUAUGAUCCAGCAAUUCCACUACUGAAUAUGUAUCCAAAAGAAAGGAAAUCCGUAUAUCAAAAAGAUAUCUGCACUCCCAUGUUUAUUGCAGCAUUGUUCACAAUAGCCAAGAUAUGGAAUUAACCUAAGUGCCCAUCAAUGGGUGAAUGGAUAAAGUGUGGUAUGUAUGCACAAUGAAAUAUUAAUCAGCCAUAAAAAAUAAUGAAACCCUCUCAUUUGCAGCAACAUGGAUGAUACUGGCGACCACUAUGUUAAAUAAGCCAAGUACAUAAAGACAAAUAUUGCAUGUUGUCAGUCAUACAUGGGAGCUAAAAAUGUGGAUUUCAUGAUGACACAGAGUACAUUGGUGGUUACCAGAAGCCAGAAAGGAGGGGAUGGAGUAGGGGAUGAAGGGGGAAAAAGGAUAUAAGUGUACUUAUUACCACUGAACUGUACACUUAAAAUGGUAAAGAUGGUAUGUUAUGUAUUACCUCAGUUUACAAAAGAAAAAACAAAUGGCAUCAACGUUAAUAAGUGUAAAAGUUGUACUAGGGAUAAAUCCGCCAUUUAAAAGGGAAAUUAGAAAUCUGAAAUAAUGAGUGCAGUUAGACUCUGAAACCCUUGAAGUCCCCAAAAGUCUCAUUCAGAACUGGUCCCAAAAUGAAUACGUACUUUUGUAUCAUUGUCUAAUUAAAGCUGCUUUUUUCAAGUAUUAGUUUGCUUCAAAAUUAAUCUUUUUAUUUGUACUAUUAUUAUGAGUGUUAUUUCCUAUUCUUCAGGUAUAUUUUUUGGAGAACAGUGUUAGUGAAAAGAGCUUGACUGUUAGACAGUCUUGAGUUAAAAUUCACGUUAGCUGUGACGAAGAAACUAUUACAUUAAAUUUUAAUUACUUAAUUUUAUUAUCUACAAUUAAGGAUAAUAAUAUCACCAAAGGUUGUGGAGAGGAUUUAAUGGGAUGACACAUAAAACUAGGACAUAGAGGCAUCUAGCAAAUACACACUUCCUUCCCUUCUCCCUUGUUAUAUACUUAUCCACACGGGCUAGGAUUUCUUUGAAGGAACCAUUUCUAUCUUAGCCAGUGUUCUAUCUGAGGUAUUUGAUGCUCUCUGCUUUUUUCUUUCACACCCCACUUUCAGUCUCUCAGUAUGUACUGUGAGCUCUGCUUUCAGACUAGAUUCGUAACUCAGUGAUUUCCUACUCCUCCACAACCACCACCCUGGUCCAGGCCAUCAUCAUUUUUCAUCUGGACUACUGUAGUCACUUCCUAACUGGACUCCCAACUUCCACUCUUGCUGCUUGCCAUUUAUUGUUCACAUAGCAGCCAAAGUUAUUCUUUCAUAAAUUAGAUCAUGUCACUUCUCUGCUCAAAACCUUCCAAGAGCUCUCCACCACUUUUAGACUAAAUAUCUGAAGUCCUUACCAAAUCCUACUAGAUCUAUGUGAUUUGACCCCAGCCUAUCAUUCGGACUUCAGACCUCUCUCCUGCUACCUUACUGUGCUCCAGCAGCACUGGCCUCCUUGCUGUUCUUUUUUUUUUUUUUUUUUUUUUUUGAGAUGGAGUUUUGCUCUUGUUGCCCAGGCUGGGGUGCAAUGCUGUGAUCUUGGCUCACUACAACUUCCGCCUUCCAGGUUCAAGCAAUUCUCCUGCCUCAGCCACCCAAGUAACUGGGAUUACAGGCGCCUGCCACCACACUCAGCCAAUUUUUUGUAUUUUUAGCAGAGAUGAGGUUUCACCAUGUUGGCCAGGCUGGUCUCGAACUCCUGACCUCAGGUGAUCCUCCUGCCUUGGCCUCCCAAAGUGUUGGGAUUACAGGCAUGAGCCACCGCUCCCAGCCCUCCUUCCUGUUCUUUGAUGGUGCCAAGCAUACUCCUGCCUUGGGGCCUUUACAUCUGCUGUUCCCUCUGCCUGGAAUGCUCUUUCUAGAUUUUUAAUGCCUUACUUUCUCAUUUUCUAACUCAGAGAGGCUGAACCUAGGUACCUCAUUUUAAACAGAUACCCCUGCAAGGGUUUCUUCCUCUCCUUAUGCUUAUUUUCCUCAUAGCACUUACCCCACAUUGAUAUUGAGAUUUUUUUUCUUUCUUUUCUUUCUUUUUCUCUUUCUUUCUUUUUCUUUCUCUUUCCUUCCUUCCUUCCUUUCAUUCUUUUCUUUUUCCUUCCUUCCUUCCAUUCUUUUCUCUCUCCUUCCUUCCUUCUCCCUUCCCUCCCCUCCCCUCCCCUCAUAUAGGGGUCUCACUAUGUUGCCCAGGCUCCUGGACUCAAGUGAUCUUCCCACCUUAGCCUCCCAAGUAGCUGGGAUUAUAGGCACACACCAGCACACCUGACUCUAUGUAGUCCCACCUGAAAUGUAAGUUUCCCUCUGAAAUACAGGUUCAAUACUUUGUUUUGUUCACUUUGUAUCAUCAGCAUUUACAUCUGCCAGGCAUUCAAAAAUAUUCGUUGAAUAAGUAAGUGAGCAAACUUACCUGCUUCCACAGCCAUCCUUUCCCCUCUCCCUAGAGAUGUUUUUCUUCCUGUCUGAGAUUAUAAUGUCUCCCCUGUGUCCUGCCUCCUCAGCAUUCCUUAAUAUUGCCUAUCUUCCACAUUCAGUUCUCCCUGGCUACAUUUUUUGUUUUCUGGCAAGCAUACAUCUCUCCCAUCUUAAAUUAAAACAAAAAAAGAGAAAGAAAAUUCUCUCUGGGCAUCCCCUGUCAGCUGCCAGUCUCUGUCUCUCCUGCUCUUAACAAACUUUUGAAAUAUUUAUUUAUACUCUUUGCAUUGCCUCAAUUCUCUUUCAUUCAAGUUUCUCCAAACCCAUAGAAACUGUUCACUCCUGCUUUAAACUUUCUUUCCUGAGCUCUUCCAAGAUAUUACUCUCUUAUUGUUUUUUUAAUCUUACUUCCCUGAUUGCUACUUUUCCUGUCCCUCCCUCAAAUUUUGUAUAUCACAGCGUUCUGAUACAAGUUCUUCAUGUUCUCCAGAUUCUUCCUUGGCAAUCUUACUACAUCCAUUGCUUUAGUUACCACCUAAACCUGGAAGCCCAGCUCAGAUUUCUCUGUACUAAGCUCAUGACUUAUUUGACCUAGUGUCUACUUGAUAUCCACCUUGAUUUCCACAAGCACCUCAAAAUAAAGAUGCCCUCUUCCAUCUCCAAACUUGAUUCUCCUCCAGUGUUACUUAUUUUAGUGAGUGGUAGCAUCAUCCAGUUGCUCAAGUAGAAAACAUGGAUAUUGUCCUUGAUUUAUCCUUCGCCUUCAGCCCCCUUCCCCCAUUUAGCCAACCAUUGGCUUCCAUUAAUUCUAUUACAGUGAGAGAAAUUGUAUCCCCCCAGAAAGAUAUGUGAAAGUCCCAGCCCCCACUGCUUAUGAAUGUGAUCUUACUUAGGGUCUUUGUAGAUGUAAUUCAGGAUCUUGAGAGGUGAUUAUCCCGGAUUAGGGAGGGCCCUAAAUCCAAUGACUGAUGUCCUUAAACAUGAAAGGAGAGGGAGAUGUGAGACAAAGACACAGGGGAGAAUGCCAUGUGAAGAUCCCUAUAAGGCUGGAGAGAGAGAUUGGAGUGAUGCUGCUACAGGCCAAAGAACACCAAGAAUUGCCAACCCCAUUGACAGCCUGAUUUCAGACUUCUGACCUCCAAAACUGUAAGAGAAUAAAUUCUGCUUUUUUAAGUCAUGAGGUUUGUAGUAAUCUGUUAUGGUAGUCCCAGGAAACAAAUUUUCUACCUUCUAAAUAGCUCUGAAAUCCAUCUAUGUUUCUCUACCAACACUGCUGCUAACUAGUUCAGAUCAUGAUUAAUCUUCUGCCUCAUCUCCCUGCUACUAGUCUCAGCCCAUCUUUCUAAAAUGCAUGAAAUUCAUUCCACUAUUUAAAAUCUGUUGAGUAGUUUGCCAGUGACUUGGAUUAAGUCUAAAUGCCUAGUAUCAUGGUUUAUGGGACUUUAUAAUUUGGCUUCUGCCUACUUGUGUAGCCUUCUUUUCCCACUCACCCUCAAUUCUGUUUUUUGUUUUGUUUUUUGUUUGUUUUUGAGACAGAGUUUCUAUUGUUGCCCAGGCUGAAGUGCAAUGGUGCGAUCUCGGCUCACCAGAUCAAGGUUCAAGCGCUUCUCCUCCCUCGGCCUCCCAGGUUCAAGCGUUUCUCCUGCCUCAGCCUCCCAAAUAGCUGGGAUUACAGGCGCAUGCCACCACGCCCGGCUAAUUUUGUAUUUUUAGUAGAGACGGGGUUUCUCCAUGUUAGUCAGGCUGGUCUCAAACUCCCGACCUCAGGUGAUCCGCCCGCCUCAGCCUCCCAAAGUCUUGGGAUUGCAGGCGUUAGCCACUGUGCCCGGCCCCCACUCACCCUCAAUUCUAUGCUACAGGCAUAGUAAUAAUUUCUGAUAUUUCUCAGCAUUUAUUCUGUGCCAGCCACUAUUCUAGGGGCUAAAUUGCACAACAACCCUGUAAGAUAGAAAACAGGUUUCUUUCAAUGUCUCAGCCUUUCUUUCUCUCGCUUCCAGGAUUUUGCACACGCUGUUCACACUGCUCUCUGCCUGAAACACUCUACUUUCUUUUCCCUUGCUCUUUGACCCUCUCUCAACUGGCUAAUUCAUACUAACACUUUAGGCCCCAGUUUAUUCAAUACUUCCUCCAAGAAGCGUUCCUCACUUCCUAAAUCUGGGUAUAUGUGCCACCCUCACUGCCUAUAUUCCCAUUACACCCUGAACUCCCCCAUCAGAAUACUGUUUACUGGUCUAUACCUCACACUGUAUUUUAUGUUUUCUUUGGGGAAGGGGUGUAUCUCUAUUACCAUUGUAACUCCAUUCCCAGAAUCGAGCACAAUGCCUGGCAUAGAAGAGAUGCUCAAUCACUAUAUGUUGAGUAAAUGAAAAAACCUUAAACAAAGGUUGCUAAUAGCAUUAUGUCUCUAAUACCAGCCAGGGCAGAAAGAAAUGCAUCCCAGACCUACUUGCCAACUGUCCUCUUCCUCACAAUUCUGAUGCCUCUGCCUGGACCAGUCCUGAAACAUCUUUUCAUAGGAAUUCCAUGAGAUCUCUAAGGCCAGUUAAUCUUCAGUUCCCUAUCAUAUUCAGCACUUCUCCAAAUACAAGCCUCUACAGGUGGCUCUCCUUUCCCAGAGAGCUUUGCAAGCUCUCCCAAACCCUUCUGCUUACUUCUGCUCUCCUUUUUCCUGGGCUUUCUGGAACUCCAGCCUAUUCAAAACAAACUCACCUGUAUUUUCAUCCUUUUUUUUUUUUUUUUUUGGAGACAGAGUCCCACUCUGUCGCCCAAACUGGAGUGCAGUGGCACCAUCUCGGCUCACUGCAACUUCUGCCUCCCAGGUUCAAGCAAUUCUCAGCUUCCCGAGUAGCUGGGACUACAGGUGUGCACCACCACACCUGGCUAAUUUUUGUAUUUUCAGUAGAGACGGGGUUUCGCCAUGUUGGCCAGGCUUGUCUCGAACUCAAGCAAUCCACCUGCCUCAGCCUCCCAAAGUGCUGGGAUUAUAGGCAUGAGCCACUGUGCCUACCCAUAUUUUCACCCUUUUAACAGAAUAUUCUUUCCAUCUCUGGCCUGAAAUAGAAACCUGUUUUCCAUUAGAAAAAUUAUCUUCUUACUUCUCUCUUGGGUGGAAGUUGUUAAUUUGUCUCACCCUUGUAGAAAACCCUCUCCUUUCAA
rnacentral:lncRNA from 1 species